rnacentral:lncRNA from 1 species
UGAGCUACGGUGGCACACGGUGGGCGACGACUAGGGCACUCUCGUAAUUCUAUCCCUUUUGCCUCCCCCUUUUUUCUUUUUUUCUUUUUCCUAAUUUAUUUACUCAUUUCCAUUAAAACAAAAUAAAUAAUAAAUAAAAUAAAAAAUAAAAAAUUAGGUGUUUCCUUUUCUUAGAUGUUGAUGUGAUGUAUCUCCCUCACGGCUUUUGUGUGUCCUGUUGUGCAAUAAAAUUAAAAAUAAAACCCCCAAAAAAAAAAAAAAAAAGUAGAGCUAGAGAGAGAAUGAGAGUGGAGUUUUUACUUUUUAGAGAGAGAAGGUGGAGGGUUUAGAGAGAGAGAGAGAGGGACAGGAUUUUACAAUGGGAGGAAAAAAAGGGGCAAGUGACAAACAGCGGGGAGGAGUUUAUGAGUUGUAAAGGCUCCACGUGCGGCACGUGUGGAGGAACCCGAGAUCUGGGCGAUUUAUCGCGAUAAAUUGAAGAGGAAAUAGACAAAGUGACGGUGAUUGAUUCUUUCUUUGCAUUUUUGGAACGCCUUCACUUUUACGUGCAUUAAAAGACAAGGAAAGUCUUGGGUGUGAGUGCUCACUGCUCACGCCCCUUCCCCUUGGACCACCACACCCCCACCCCAUCAUCCUACAAAUUUUAAUCAUCCCAUAAUGUAGCAGUGACGCACCAUCGUUGUUAAUUAUUUUACCUAUCUUACGUAACGUCAAAAGGAUAUUUGAUAAAAAUAAAAAAAAAAUUAAAAAAAAAAAGUCCAAGGGACAUGAAAGAUCAUGGUAAAGGUUUUUCCAUACAAGAAGGCCAAGUAACCGUUGGCAAUACCUUUUGAUUUUCAGCAACGGUGGGCUCUUCAGAGUAAAGCUUUUAUACUGACUUUAUACCUAACACAGCACAUUCCAGCCCUUUACUUGACCUUUUCAAACAGCUUACAUACAAAAUAUGCAAUUUUCUACACUGGGUUGUUCUACAAAGUCCGAAAAGGAUUGAGCAGCUGAUUUGCAUUCGGGUUGUUCUUUAGACCGAGACAGAUAGUAUUUUCCAAGGCAAAAAGGCUUUACUGUGAAGAGACGGUGACAAGUAUUUAAAUAGUAGGCAAGUGGGGUGGUUUUUGGAUGGCCUUUUUUCCAUUAAUAUUUUGUAUUGAAUGGAGGGUCUGUGUGUCUAUUCAUAAGUCGGUGAAUAAACCGUACCAUGGUGUGGUGAGUGGUCUCAUGCCUCAGUGACAUCAAUGCACUCUCUCAUGCCCCCUGCAGAGGUUAAUAACUGUACUGAAUCCGUCCAUAUCCACCAUCUGAUCUAUAUACUAUGGGUUUCCACUGAUUGGAUGGGAAUGGGGGGUGGGGGGUGGUCUAUUGUUGUUUUCAGUGGUCCUGACUCCACCUGAUGGUGUGGAGUGGGUACAUUGAUGGUAACAAACUAGGGAAGGGCAUUAUCAGUUUGAUUGAAACCAAUCACAUUUGUAGUCUGUGGUCUACCUGCCUUUUGGGGUAUGGACUCUCAUUGAAUCUGAUGAAGUAGUUGGAGACUUUAUGUCUAUUAUCUUAAUGGCACUAAUUAAUUGGCAUCUGGGGUUGGUAAAAUUGUAACUUUUUGGGGCAUGGCUGUAUGAUAGAAACCAUAGAAUCAUUGUGUGAUGGGGUGGUAACAUUUAUUUUAAUGUUUUUUGACAUGCAUUAAAGUAAAUUAGCAAAAAACAAUUCAUGGGUUUUUGAAUUCUCACCCGAUGAGAUAUUGGGCAUAUUCCCAUUUUUGUCCCAAUUAGAAUCCUCACAUUGGAUUACAGUUGUUUACAAAAAUCAGACUUAUUUUUGUUCUCAGAGGUAGAUUUUUCAACCACAUAUUUCUUCAAAUUGGGAAAAUCUAAAACAGAAUUAUAGCUCAUUUUUUUCCAAAAAUAAAAAAAUAAAAUAUCAUUAUUAUACAAAAACCAGUUUAGGAAUAAUCUAAGUUUUCAAAAAAACAAAUUAUUUUUGUAAACCUUUCCAAAUUAAUAACUAUUUUUUAAAAUAAUUAUAAAAAAUAGUUUUUGGAAACAAUUUUUUAAAACUGUUAUUAAAAUAUGUUUGAAAACUUAAAAUGUUUUUAACUUAUUUUUAAUCAUUUUAAAUAUUUAUAUAUUUAUUUUUUAAAAUACCUCUAAAAAAAAGGUAAAAAUAACUAAAGUGUAUUAUUUAAAAAUAUUGUAUUUUUUAUUUUUAAGAAUAAAAAAUAAAACAUAAUUUUUAAUUAUUAAACAAAUUUUUCAUAUUGUUAUUUUAAAGAAUAGAAAACUGUUUUAAAUAUCGAGGUUGUUGUGAUUGCAUGACUGCUUGGUUAAAUUGUGGCUGCUAAAUUUGCAAAUGAUCAUGAUUAAUAUCUUAAUCGUGUGUAGGAAGCUGUCGCCUGUACAAGAGGUGAGAGUGAGACAGUGAUGAAAAUACGAGUUUUAGUUUUGAUGAAUGACAAAUCCCUCCCAUUUUCAUCACUGCCCUUCACCUUUUUCUAUGCAAACACUUGGUCCAAUAGAAAAGGUGAAAUCAAUAAUAAAAGGGUUGAAAAAGCAAAAGCAGAAGGAGAUCAAUAAUUGCCAGCAAGGUGGAUUGGGCAUCAGAUCUCUUAUAUGCAACUCAACCUCUACUUCUCCAAUUGCCCCCCUCCUUUUCAAGGGCAUGGUCCUAUCACCUAUGUGGGUCACUCUCCCUUUACUUCCAUCAUGCCCAAAAUCCUUUCCCUCUAGGCUCUAUGAUGCCCAAUAACUUAAGUAGAAGUUCACCUUUAUUAUUUUUGGGCAUUAUUGGUACUAACUAUAUGUUGUAGUUACAAGCCAUUCUAUUUAUGGUAACAUUCUUUUUUAUCACCCUUCCAUCUUAAUCCAACUCAAAUUAACCUAUCAAUUAUUUUGUGGUUUCAUUUUAUCUUAUUUUUGAGAAAUCUAAAACUUAUUCUUACGUUUUAUGCAGAUUUUUAUAUCCGUUUAACUAAUCUUAUUUAAAUUAAUUUACGAUUUAAGUCAAAAUCCGAAACUAUCCCAAAUGAGACGUGAGUAUUAUUUUAUUAUUCUAUAUUACGGGAUAAUUAAUUUUGCGGGUUUUAAUAAAAUUUUAAAUUGUUUACAAAUGAAAUUUAGUUGAACGAAAGGCAUGUGAAGAGCAUCCUUGGAUGUUAAUAGUAUACAAAGAAGGAGUUGAUUGACUGCUAAUACCAAUGAUCUUAACUUGCCUUUUGCAUUGGGCGGUCGGCUGCCAUCAUUAACUAAUGAUCUAUGAUUGAGUAUAUUCCAAUACUGUACACGUGUCCUCCAUCCGCUGCACUUCUACAAAAGUGGACGGUUCUCAAGUACCCAGGAGCAAUUUUUUAAUUAGCACUCGCUUUACCAAAUCUGCCGCAUCUUUUCCCAAACACCAGGGUUUGGCUUCGUAAACAAGACUCAGCAACCAAAUUAAAAAUAAGUGAGUGAAACCCUGAAGUACGACGACACGUGGGAUCACAGCUGGAGUAGCAAUCAUGCCUUCCACUGGGUAGUGUGAUAUGCCACGUUGGCAAAAAGUGGGUGUCCCAGAAAACGUGUAAUGAUGGUGGAUUAUAUUGGAAAAGCAACUUUUCCACGUGGCAUGGCACGCCACGUCGAUAGCGUAGAGGGCUUUAUUACAACUGGAAGACAUCUGGCACGCGUUUUUGUUGUAAAUUGUCUGGCAGAAGUGGGCCACGUGGUGCCAGAGUAGGUCCACAGACAGCUCAGCGACUGGGAUUGUCGGUCGCUUUCGCUAGCUGUAAAUCAUCAUAAGCGGAGAAGCGUCCGUAUGCGGAUGACGUCAUUAUUAGAAACGAUUUUAUAGAAAUGAAAGUAAUUUUUGUUGGGUGGUGGGUGAGAUUUUUGAAUGAAAGUUCGAGAAAGUAGGGAGGGAGAGAGAAAGGAAAAAAAAAGUUUAAAAAAAGGCGGGACAGCGUGGCGGGCAUUUUGUGGAGGAGGUGGUGUUUGGGGAGUAAUAGAAUAUGGGGCUGUUUGGCUAAUAGGAUAGGAGUUCGGCUACGUGUAUGGAUCUGAUUGGCUAAUCCUGACAGAGAAAAUUUUGCCUAGUGAGAGAUGAUCUCGGGAAAGCAAAUAUAUUUGUUCGAGAAAUAUUAAAUUUUUAAUUCAUUUGCAAUAAAUUCAAUAGCAUAUGAUAUGAAAUAUUUACAUUCCAUAAACAAAUUUUCCCUUAUUUUGAUUUAGAUUUUUUUUUUAAGGUAUGGUAUCGGUAUAUUAAUACUAGAUUUUCUCAUAUAGAAAUAGAAUAAUAUGAAUAACUAUGAUAUCCCUCAUAGUUUCAACGGGAAAGUUCUCAAAAUUGUUUUUUAAAACUGUGAUAAUUUUGGAUUAAAAGUAAAUAAUAUCUAUACGAUUGGAUGUGAGUUACGAUAUUAUAUUUUUAUUUUUUGAUACGUGGAUUAUACACACGUUUUAAAAUAGCAAAGCCAUAUAGUCGGUGUAUUAUUUAAUAUUUGGAUAUUUUAUAAUUGUUAAUAAUUUUAUAGUUUUCACAUACGUGUUCCCAAUUUUAAAUAUUAAAACUCGUUUUAGGAAAAAAAAAUUUAAUUUCUAUAUCACAAAUAAUAAAAAUUAAUUUAAUUUACCAUGUUUGAGUUUUUACAUAAGCCCGUCUAAUUCCAUUAAUUCAUUUGUUUGAAAUUUUAUUAAAUACAUUUUAUGUCAUUAUUUUCUUUAGUUAGUUUUAUCGCUCAAGAUACAUGAGUUAUUUUAUAAAAUUUUAACGGAUGAGGAUUAAAUGUAUUUAACAAAAUCUUGAAAAUAAAUGAAUGAAAUUAAUCAUAAAUAAUAAUGCCUCCCUUUUCCAUACAUUUUUUUAGAAAAUCACUUAAUUAAAAAAAUACAUCUAUAUUAAUUAUCAAAUAAUCUUUAAUGUAAAAGUGAAUUUAGGUGAGAUUACUCAAUAUAAAUGUUUAUAGUAUGAUAUACAUAUUUGAACUCAAAUCCUAUAAAUUUUAAGUUUUUCGAAAAAUUGAUAAUUCAAUAUGAUAUCAGAGUUUUGUAUGAUAUGAGAUUGUAAACUCAAGCCCCUUCUCCACAAUUUGUAUGUUCGCUUCCCAGUCUAUUCCUCCUCUCCCCCCUACCUAAUUUGCAAUUCCGUGGUAUAACUCAACUCAGAGAUAAUGGAGAAAAUCUAUCACUACUGUGGCUAUUCAUAUUCAUCAGUCCAAUAUAACUCCAAAAGAGGUCAUUUUCAAUGUCUAUAUAAUACCAUGUUGCAUGUAGAUAUGAAGAUGAAUUGGUAACUGCUAGAAUCCAAUGUGUUGCAAAUUGCACUUCAAUUAUUGUUUCUGGAUUUGCUAAUUGCAAAGCUGUCUUCAUUUAUUUGAUGCUUAUCAUUAUUUUUUAACCUAUUGGUAAAAUAUAGGUGGCAAAUUUGUUAGGACGGUGGAAUUUGUACAUUAUGAUUUGAUUAUUAAUGUAAAAUAAGAUUUUUGGGUUGUCUUCUACUAUGGUCAAAAAUCUUGAUUAGUUAUUUUGCAUAUCAAUUUUUUCAACUUAAGUCGUAAAUGAAAUUAUGAAUAUGAAAACCAUUUUUUUUUUUACAGCAAAAGAACUUUGACCUUCAUUUUAACGAAGAAAAAAAAAACUAAGAGAAAUGUUUUUCUAUUGUCUUAUGGAGAGAGAUAAAAAAAAUAAGAAAAAACAUGGUUUUUUUUUUUUUUUUGGUCUUUAGAGAGAUUUUUUCACAGAAAAAGAAAAAGAAAAACUUUUCUUUUAAUAGUAUCAUGCUCUUUGAAAGUUUUAAACUUCAAAACACAGCUCCCUCGUUUUUUCAUUUUCUUAUUUAUUGGGUUAAAUCAGGUCAACCCAUUUGGGUGCCUAAUCCUAACUCCAACCGUUAUCAUAAAUAAGUGUUUCAAUUAUUCAUUUAUCAUUAAUUUACUUUUCUAACGAAUGAUAAAACUUCUUUAAACUUUCAAUAACCUGACUAAAAUGGCAUCGGACAACUUACAUUUAAUCUAUAUCAUGGAACGGUUUCGUACAAAAAUUACUUGGCAUUAAUGCUUAAUCACAUUGGAGGGCUAACCUAUUUUGUUUGAUACAUUGGACACACUUCAAUUAUUUAUACAGGCAAAUAAAACAAAAUUGUUCAUAAUUUUAUUCCUACUUGCAAAAAUGAGACAACCAAGUAGCCCUUAAAAUACUAACAAGCAUAAUUUGUAGAUUCUUAAGAAUGUAGGAGGCAUACUGAAUAUUGAAUACAUCUUUCAUAUUUUCAAUCAAUUGACUACCUUGUCUUAUAUCCAUAUCUCACAUUCAUAGGGUGGAUUAGAUUUAGUCCACUGAAAAUGAUGAUCACAAAAGUUUAUUAAAACAAAUGUGAGAUUGUGAUGUGAUUGAUACAAUUAUUUUUAUUAAAAAAAAGGGUCAAUUGUAUGAUUCAAAACAUCCAUACAUAUAUUUAAUUAAUUAAUUAUUAUUAUUUAUAAUUCAUGACCUCGAUUUUCCACUAAAGGAGUGGGUGGAAUUCUUGACAACCACUAAAAUAUGUGGGCAAGUUGUACUUUUUAUAUUUAUUUAUUAUUGUUAUUCAUUUUGUCAAUCCUUGAAUUGAUUAAGUCUAUGUUAUGGGAAAGUGCCAAUUUCUCUCUCCACGUGCAUAGCAUAUGACUAAUUUAUUAAAUUAGUGAAGCUUGAGAUCAACCUGCAGCUGCAUAAGGUAGGGAGAUUACAACUUUUGGUUCGAGGAAAUCAAGGAAACCUUUGAAGGAUUGAUAGAAAAGGGUUUGGUAUUAAUCAUUUGUGUAGCUUCUAUGCUUGAUGCUACUACUCCUAUUCAACCAUUAAUAUAUGGUUUUAAUUUUUUGUACUUAAAAUAGUAUUAAUUUGAGAAUGAAAGCUACUUUAUUGGUAUAAUUUGUAAGGAUUUGCGAUUAAUUUAAACAUAGCCGCUCGUAACCCACCAUAGAACCCUUUUUUAUUUUUUUUUCAAAUUCUUUAUUUGUGAAACUAUUUCAUUGAAAACAAGUUUUAUAAAAUUCAAUAUGGUUUUUGGGAUUUCUCAUCUGAUCGCUCCCGUUAAGCCAAGUUUGAGUAGGUGAUUAUGUUAUUAGAAUUCUUAGGUUUAGGACCGACAAGAGAUCCUCGUGAGUCAAGCUAAAAGCGGUAAGAUGUUAUUUAAAUUGACUUUUGAGAAUUAAAAAUUAUUUUUUAAAUUUAAUAAGAAUUUUUAUGUUUAUUUUGUUAUUUUUAUUUAAAACACUUAGUAGAAACUUAAUUUUAGGUUAUAAAAAAAGCCCUUCUAUAUUUGAUAAAAUCUUUAUAAUACCAAUACCAAAAUUUCAAAAUUAUCUUUUACCUUGUGAUGAAAGCCCAAAAAAAAAAAAGGAGUAAUGCCAUGUGAGGCAUAAGAGGCCUUAGCCCACACCCCACCAUUUACAAAGACAACAAAACCUUGGACCUGGGCCUCGGAGCACAGGCCCAAUGGGAGAAGAAUGGGUGGUCCUCUAUGAAUUUGUACGUUACAAUACUUCAUAUAUGGACUUGAAUGAUGUUCUUAAUUGCUGGAUUUUUUUAAAGAUAAAUGGGAUGGGAUAGUCUCAACAUCAUCAACUUCAAAUCAAUAUUUGUUGAUUCAUUUUCCUUUUUCAGCCUCUUGAAUCCCCAUGCACGUAACGGAUGUUGCUCUCACGAUUUCUCACUAUAUAUACAAACCACAGCAUACAUGCUUCCGCACUCGAUCGACAUGGCUCUGAUGCUGAAGCUCUUUCUUUUCACUCUUCUCUCUGCAUGGAGCCUGGGAUCCAUGGCUUCCGCACGGUACCUGGACAAGAGCUUCAGCCUUGCUGCUCGAUUACAUGCGGACGACGACUCAUCAUCCAAGUGCUGGGAGUCUUUGCUUGAGCUUCAGGCAUGCACUGGAGAGGUUGUCCUGUUCUUCCUCAAUGGUGAGACUCACCUUGGGGCCGGCUGUUGCCAAGCCAUUCAGACCAUUGAGCACCAAUGCUGGCCUGCCAUGCUUACUUCCAUUGGUUUCACUGCCGAGGAGGGCGACAUCCUCCAAGGUUACUGUGAUGCAACCACAUCCUCUUCGGCUCCCCCACCACCACCACCACCACCAUCCAUGGAGCCUAAUGACGUGGUUACCUUGGGUGGCUUUUUCCUCGAUCCUUAGUAGAACGCGUUCUUACUAGCAGUUAUGUCUUUUACAUAUAUCUGAUCCGCUAGUCUAAAUAUAUACAGAAAAGGGUGUUUGGAAUUAAUGAAUGAUUUCCUAUAUAUUGCCCCAUAUUUGUUGCAAUUAAAUUCCAUUUCUUGCUUGAAAAAAAGGUAUAAUAAUUUCCCAUCAUUGAUAGCACUAGUAGUUGUCUUUUAUGGGCUGGACGAGACACACAGAUCGACCCACAAUUCUGCUUACCCAGCCCAUGCUCAGUGGUUUGGACUAACAUAAUUGGAGGCCCAAAAGGGAUAUCAAUAAUAAGAUAAUGUUUGGAAGAUGAGUCUAUUUUUGUAUCUAGAUAAGACCAACUCAUCCCCCUCUAAUUAAUGGAGAGGUAACGGCGUGAAGGGCAAGAUUCUCAAGGACUCAAAAGCCUUUUUGCUUUGAUUUUCCAUCAAGGCAUCAGUGCCAUACACAUAAGUCCAUAAGGUAAUGAAUAAGGAGCGUCAAAUCAGGGUGGGAUGCGAAUAUGCGGAUUGAAAGCCAAGUAUUGAUUUUAGUGGUAUGAGGUGGGUCGUGUAUGGAUGGUGACAUCUAACUAUAAGUCUCUCAAAAGACUUCAAACUUCCCCCCAUCUCCGCCUUCUUUCAUGCUCUUUCCACUCUUCUUUUAACGUAGUAAUUUUUUUUCCCUUUGGGUAAUUAGGAUCUAAGCAUGGAAGAAGAGAAUAUUCGGAUGAGUGUUUCAAGAGUUCUUGGCUUUCUACACAUUGUUACUUCAUUUUCAAGCUGAGGAAUCAAUUGGUCAUUUGUUAUGUGCUUGUUUGUGAUCAUUGGGAAGCAGAUUUAGGGUUUUGAAAGGUCAAAUGCUAAUCAACAGAAGAAGAAAUUUACACCCCAUGCCAACAUAAAGAGAUAAUUGUGGUUAGGAUAGAUUUCAUAUAAUUAACUUCAACUAACUUCUCAUGACCUGCCAUUCCUAGUCAUCAUUCAGUUAGUUAUUUCCUUGCUAUGCCCAUGAUCGAUGCAUCGACCGUUUGCCACUUGUUUUCAUCCAAAAACCUGUCAUUUUCUCUCCGAUCUCGAUCCACUAGAAUGGAUCAAACUGGAUUCUUUCUUCCUCUGGAAUAAUGUAAAGCUAGACUAAAAUUUUAUACAUUCCUCUAUUGGUUGAUGGUUUAUUAAUGGUGAGAUAUCUUGUACAAAUUGAAUCAUCAAGGUCAUUGGAGUGGUGUCCUUGUUGACUAAUUAAUGGGUCCAUGUUUCAUGAUCAUAAGGCCAUCUUGCAUGAUUCAAAUAUACCCUAUUGAAAUGGUAUACAUACACAUGCACAUUGUUCAAAAACGCCCUAGAAAAAGGAAAGGAGGAUAAAAAGAAAUACAAGUCGUCCACUAGUGCCAUAUGUGGAAAAGUAGUGAGCAUACAGAUCUCAACUCCCCUAGAGAAAAUUGUCCUCGUAUGGAACCUCAACAAUGAAUUCUAGAGAAAGCUGUCAAGUGAUCACAGUCCAGAUGAAUCUUGAUUUAGAAGUUAGAAAAAUGAAGGGUUGUUAGGUUAGGGUAGUUAGUCAAUGGCACAAAGAUGUUAUCUUAAAAGUUGUGGAGGAGAGGAGAGGAGAGGAGAGAGUCAGAAAAAAGAAUGAACCUAUCAGAAGAAAGUAAGAAACAUCAAACUAUAAUCUUAUUAACAUGGAACGAUAAUCAUGAUAAAGCCACACAACAAGGGUUUCACAAGGACACACAGAGAGACCCAGGAAACAAGACACAAACUCAUCCAACAUAGCUCAGACAUAGAAAUUAUUUAGCAUAGUUGCUCACUGGCAAUUGUAAAUCUAAUUACACAACAAGCACACAUGCAUGCGUCUAGAAAAGAUGGUGAUGCUUCUUUCCAUGAGCCUCUUCAUCUUCUUCCUUGGCUUCUUUCUUCUCGUGAUGCUCGUGGAACGCGAACCCGCCAGCUCCCACUGCAGCAGCCGCGGCAAUCUCUUCUUCUAUCUUGUGCUUGUGGGCAUGCUCAGGGUCUUUCUCCGACUUGUGCUUCUCAUGCUAUAAUUCAAGCAUCAUCAAGACGAUAAGAAAUAGUUCCUUUGUAUAAAAUUAAUUAAAACAAAAAUAUUUUCAAACUUCAUGACACACGGGGCAUUACCAAGGCGUAAGCGCCAGCAGCAGCGACGCCGAGCUCGCCGAGGUGCUCGAGAUGCUUGUGGUGCUUCUCCUCCUUCCUGUAGUCAGGGCCUGGGUCAUCUGCUAACACUUCGGUGGUUUCGGCAGCGUAGCCGCUGACACCAUCGGUAGCAUAGCUGGUGUCGGAGUAGGUGGUGUCGGAGUAGGGAACGGCGUCGUCAACAGGCUUGUCCUUGUGGUGGAAGAGGUGGUGGUGAUGCUUCUCCUCCGACAUGGUGGUGGUGAUCAAAUUAGCUGCAGAAACGAGAGAGGAAGAUGGUUUGUGAACUGUGAAGGUGUGAUGUGGGAGAGUGCAGUGGUGGGUGGUGGGGUAUUUAUAAAUGCUGGUUGCGAAGGUGUCCAAAGAUCGUGGGAGAGAUGAAUGGGUAUUGGGAAUGGCCCGAAUGGGUGGGGCCUCACCAUUCACCAUUCUUAUCUACAUUUUUCAAAUCUCGAUGGCUCCUACUCUGUCGAUACUUUGUUUUUGUGUCGGCAAUUUCAUUGGAUCUUUAACCACGACAUUUUUUAACCACAUUUUUAGAUUUCCGUGAUAUUAUCAUAAUUGUUUUUGUUAGUCAUUCGUUGGAUUUAUUUCAAAAGUAGGAAAAUGUUUGAAAAAUAUACAUCAUCAUUUGCGUCUUUGAUCCACUCUCAAUAGGAAAUAAAUAAAUAAGAAAAGAAAACCACAAAGUCUCAGGUAGCAAAGAGUCCAUAUCAAAGUAUCAAACCUUUUUAUCGAUGAAUAUUUUUAGGAAGAACAAUCUAUUAUUUGUAAAAUAAUUUUUAUAUAUUGAGUGAUAACCCUUCAAUUCGAUAUCGUUAGAUCAUUAAGGUCGGCUUUUGUCCCUAUUCGACGGGUGGAUCUUGUAGUCAAACUCCCUUUUACCUUUGCACUCAAGGUCCAUCUUUGUUUUGCUUGAGAAAACCUUUGUUAAUUUCCAUUACCUUUUGAGAGACUUACGCUCUAUAAAAAUUAUUUAUCUAUUCCUUGACGAGGAAAUUCAAAUUCUUUUACUUAAAUUUAUUUUAUAAAACAUUAAAAAAGGUUAAAUAUAAUAAAAUUAUUAAAAAUUUGAAUUUAAGAAAUCAUUUAUUUUUUAAAUUUUGACAUGAACAUAUAUGGGUAAAAAACAAAAAGAGACAAAAACAAAAUAUGUUUUUUUGUGCAGUAAUCAAUUAAAAAAUCACUUUCAAUUUAAUAAAAGAUGUAAUUUUUAAUAUUAAAGCUUAGAGAAAAAAGAAUUGACUUGAUUGGAAUGAAUUACAAAAAUCACACCCCAAUGAAGAGGAACCCCAUACAGCACCUCCUUUCCUUUUCAUAAAGCAAAGACCUUUCAUCAGUAGGCAUGUGAAGGAGGGAAAUGAACUUGGCAGAUUCCACCUUAAAGUGCUAAAACAUGGCACUUGCCCCUCUUUCUAAUCAAACUUAACCCCACCUACAUUAUCUACAUUAUUUAUUGUACAUUAUCUUUCUCCAACUAAUACUAGUAUUUCACAUCUCACAAUUUUUUUAUUCUAUUGGAUGUGAGUCUAUUAUUGCAGUUAGGUCAGCUAAUCAGGAUCCCAUGGAUAAGGUGCCACAUAUUAAUAUUUUAGCCUUUUAGGUGUUGCUAUUCAUCCUCCUUUAUGACUUGGGCUCCAUUUCUUUGCUUGAACCUCACUUUUAGGGUAAUUUCUUUUCUUGGACUAUUAGUUUAUUUGUUGCACAUAAAAAGGCCACUUUAAUGGCCGUCAAACUUUGAUAAAAUAUGUCUUAUUUUGUACUUUAAGGUGGUGUUUAUUUUUUAAUUGAAUAAAAAAAAAAUAAAAAUAUUUGAUUUUUUCUAUUUAAUUAAAAGUAAUUUGUUGAGAUCGUUCAAUGUAACUAAAAUGAACUUGUUAUCAAUAAAUUUACUUUAGUUAUGUUAGACAAUAUUAAUAGGUUACUUUUAAUUGAAUAGAAAUAAAAGUCAUUUUAAUUAUAUUGGACAAUAUUAACAAGUUAUUUUUAGUUGAAUAGAAAAAACUAAAUAUUUUAAUUUUUUUUAUUCAGUCAAAAAACAAACAUCACCUAUAAAAAUUGAUAACUUUUAUAUAUUUGUACUAUGGUAGAUGGGCUUGGCCCACUUGGGCGUAGGGUAGAUAUUUGAAUUUUGAACAGAAAAAAAAAAAAGGGAAAAAAGGAAAAAAGGAAAGGGGAAAGAGAAGGAGAAGAUAAAUCAAUAAAUCAUAAAAGCAGGAAGGAGAGGUGGAAAAUGGUCCUCUGGUCUGGACCAGGAGAAAGUGGCCGGUGAUGGGGCCCAUUGGGUCUGUGUCGGCAAGGCCCCAUUUAUUUCGGCAUCAAUAUACCUGCCUGAUUGGUUCCAUGCCUGCCAUAUGUUUACGCUUUUGUCAAUUAUUAUAAAAAACAACUUCUUUGUCAAUAAACUCUUUAAUUUUUACUUCUCUAUCGUCUUUAAUGGGUGUGAAAAAAGUCAUACAUGCCUAUUGUAUUCUUCUCCUUUUUAGUAGGUAAAAACCUACAGGCUAUCCCUAAACUGAAUUUUAUAAUAUUUCAGAAAAUAUGAAAUUUAUUUUUAAUUAAUAAAAAUUUGGAUUAAAUAUCAAUCAUAAUUUCAUAACUGAUAUGGCCGGUGAUAAAGAACGAGUGAGUCACGCUAGGGCCACGGAUGUAUCACAUUCAUGGUGUGCCUGGGCUUAGUGGUUGAUGUGAAAUAGAUAUAGGUGUAGCGCAUAGUGUAAACGGGCCCAGGGAAAUUCAAAAUCGCGUUGCCACGUUCCAUAGAAAGGACAAGAAAUUAGAAGCUGGGAGUGGUCCACGUCUUCCAGGUAACCCCCACGCUGCUAACGAUUAUUCAAUGCCUUCCUACUCCAAAUCAAACCUAAUGUUCAACAUCGACAUGUCUCAUAUGACACAUCCUUAUAGAUGAAGUUGGUGAACUGUGGAGAAGAGAGAGUAAGGGCGUGUGAGCGGAGAUAAUUCACAAUUGAUUGGCAGGUUUCGGAUAUUUUCUUCGGCUUUGUCCUGGGUUUUUGGAAAGGUUUGAUUGGCCCGACCCAAUCCUACAACCCAUACUAAACCACACAAUCGAAUCCUACGAGAGACCAAACCCAACCUUAAAUCAAGUUCCUCAUUAUGGGCUUCAUAGCCCAACUUAGCACUCCAGCCCAUCCUAACAUUGGGAAAAAUAAAUUAAUGAAAAUUAAGACUAGAUAUGAAUAAUUUCUUUUAUUAUCUUAAACUGCUGAAAGGGAUUAGUUAUCCUACACAGCUUGAACAGAAAAAGAGCCCUCUAAAACUCACCUACUUGAGAUUUAAGGCAUAAAAAAGUCCUUACCUUAAUAAUUGUAAGAGAUCGUUGGAUCAAAUGAUUCAAAUCUGGGACUUGCUCACACAAUCAAUCCAUUUCAUGAGACGAAUUACCAGUGAGGCUCUCUUCACCAUCUACAAGAUUUCGGAUGUAGCGAGUCAAGUAAGAACUUGGACCAUAGCAAAUGCUUGAUAAAAACCCUCCAUACAGUAAGCAAUGGAUGCCAAGCUUAAACAGAUUUUUCCUCUCUUGGUUGGUGUCUCUCUGUGCUUCAUACCCACCAGUACUUUCUUCAUCCCAACUCGAAGAAUCCAUGGCAGUGCAGCCUGAAUGAGCCUGAAAACCCCAGAUCUUGGAAGUUUCCAUCUUUUGCAGCCAGUUGGAAUCAAUGGGAUCUUUAAAUUUUUUACAAAGAUGGUGUCCCUGGAUCAGAAAACUCCAAACUUUUGGUGUAAUACUUGAGACACAGUUAAGGAACUGCUUAGAUAUGUUCUCCAAUCCUCCAUUAUGAGCUUGACUCCCAAAAAAAUUGGCCUCGAAUUCAUCUGCUAGUGAGCACUCAUUGCAUUUAUGACUCUGAAGAGACGAAAGAUUUAGAACAGGCAACCUCCCUUUCACAAAGGAAUUCAAUAGUGAGCUUCUAGCAAGACUUAAAAGGGACUCCCCAGCAUUCAUCCAGAAGUUUGCAAUUGAUGCGAUCAAAGAAGAGUCAGAGAGGAAAAUACGGUGGGUUGCACCUGCAAGCAACAAGGAGUAUGCUGCACUGGUCUUGAUCAAGCUCAAGGCUUCCAGCUCAUCUCCGUCCAUUUCAGAAUGCAGAUCCAGUAAUUGACUAGCACGGACUCUGUAUGCAGAAGCCAGUGUUGUGUAGGCGGCCAAAGAGAGAUGGUGCAGGGGGUGCAACUUGAAAUUUGCUUGUGAUUUUCCCUCAAUUGGUUCUAACUGCUCAUCUGGAAGACCUUGAGCAAUAACAUUCUCAAGCUUCUCACAGCAAGCUUCAGGGUUGCCAACUGACAAAUAGUCAGCUAUAGCAUCAUCUACAUAAUCAGUCAACUUUCUGAUUUCCUCCUCUCUACACAUGUUAUCAUCUAUGUAAUUGAGACUAUGAGCCAAAGUUUCCUAUAGGGAAGAACAGAGAAAUGUCAAUCCUUGUUUUAUGACAGUACUAGAAUUCAGGCACUUCAAUUGCAGAUUAAAAAAUGCUUGUGAAGUUCAGACUUCAGAGUUGAUACAGAAAUAUUGUGAGUACUUCACCGUACAAAGUGGCCCCCGAAAAAUAACCAGAGUGGACAAGGGAAAGGAUAAAACAGGAUGAGAAAAGCUACUAUGAAUUACUCAAUAGCUUUUCCUAGUUCCAAUUGAUAUGGAGAAAAAGACUCCAACUGUCUGUCAGCCUUUUGAGAAGGAAAAAGCAGAUGUAACUAAGGGAGACAACUUGAAGAAACAAAAGAUAUGAAAGGCAAAGAAGAAAAUAAAUAGCACACAUACAGAUUCUGGAUGCAGCUCUAAUUGCAAAUGACGCAGCUGACUCAAGGGAGAGAAGCUCUAGGGCUGGUUUAGUUUGCAAGUUGGACAUAUGUACUUUGGUGUGCCCCUUUUGGCAUUUUAAUACAAUUUGCACUUACCUAUCAAAAAAAAAAAAAAGUUUGCAAUUUGGACAUAGAAAAGGCUUAUGACCAUGUUGAUUGGAAUUUUCUCCUCCCAGUAACGAAAAAGAUGGAGUUUGGUCUAAAAUCGAGAAAGUGGAUUCAUUUUUCCAUUGUAAGGAUGUCAAUCUUAGUCAAUGUUUCUCCUUCAGAUUUCUUUCAGACAUCUAGAGGAUUGUGGCAGGGUGAUCCUCUCUCACCCUAUCUCUUCAUGAUUGUCAUGGAAGCUCUACAUUGUAUACUCUCAAGGGCUGACUAGGGAGUGUUCAUUCAUGGCUUCAAGGUCAGGGGCAGAAGGGGUGAAGGUUUCCAAGUAUUCCAUCUCCUGUUUAAGGAUGAUAGAAAAAUUUGGAUCAACUAAGAUACUGGAGGUGGAUUGUAAUAGGCUUCAAGGUUGUGUUAGGUCUGAAAAUAAACCUGUAAAAAAGUAACUCAUUCUAAUGGGGAAAGUGGAGGAUGUGGUGAGAUCAUCAUCUUUGCUUGGGUGUAAGAUUGGAAGGCUUCCCACUUCUUAUCAUGGUUUGCCCUUUGGAGUGCUUCAUAAGUAUUGCGUUGUAUGGGAUGCUGUCAAGGAAAUGUUUGGUAAAAGAUUGGCUUCUUGGAAGGUGUGGUAUUUGUCAAAAAGAGGAAGAUUAGUUCUUUCAAAGAGCACUUUCUCAAGCUUAUCAAUCUAUUUUAUGGCCUUUUUUUCUAUUUCCAGGAAAGUGAGGAUCAAAUCAUAAAGGAUUCAGAGAGACUUUUUGUAAGGAAAUCUUUGGUAAACCAAUAAGAUGCAUUNNNNNNNNNNNNNNNNNNNNNNNNNNNNNNNNNNNNNNNNNNNNNNNNNNNNNNNNNNNNNNNNNNNNNNNNNNNNNNNNNNNNNNNNNNNNNNNNNNNNAGGAAGAACAUCCAAAGAAAGUGCAGGGAACUGGUCAAGGGGUGGAACAUUUGUGAGGUGAGGGAGACUUCUGGUAUAAGCCUAUGGAAAGACUUAAGAAAAGGUUGGGAGGAAUUCAACCACAGGAUAGCUAUCCAAAUUAAAAAUGGUAGCCAGACAAAAUUUUAGAGGGAUGGGUGGGUGGGUGGGGGGGAACUGUUUGAAAGAAGCAUUUCCUCUAUUGUUUAGUCUAGCUUCUCAAAAGAAUGCCAUUGUUGCAAACAUGUGGGAUGGGAGAGGUAGUGGAGGCCAGUGGGUGCAUUUCAAAAGGCCAUUCCAAGAUUGGGAAAUGGAGGGGGUGUCCUAAUUUUUAGAACUUAUUUAUUCAUACAGCAAAAGUGCAAGAAGAAGGGAAAGAUAUCUUAGUUUGGAAGGAGGAUAGGAAGAGAAUCUUCAGUACUAAGUUGUACUACAGUUCAUUGUGUGCCGAAUUUAGAGUGGACUUCCCAACCAAAGAAAUUUGGGGGCUCCCAAGCUCUUACGAGAUCAUGUUUUCUCACUUGGGAAACAGUAUGGGAGAAGAUCUCAACCAUAGAUUUGUUAAUGAAGAGGGAUGGACAAUGUUAAUAGAUAUAGUCUUUGCAAAGAGAGUGAUGAGUCUGCUGAUCAAAUUUUCAUUCACUGUGCAAUGACAAAGGUAUUAUAGAUGUUUGUUUUAUCAAUUUUUAGUUAGAAAUAAGUUUCUAGCUACAGUGAGGAAUAUGCUUCUCAAGUGGAAGUUUUUAAGGUAUUGGACAAGAAGAGUCACCAUCUUUGACAAAUGACACCCCUCUGCUUAUUCUGGUGUAUAUGGAAAGAGGGAAACCAUAAAAUCUUUAAUGGGGAAGAGCUUGCAUAUUAGAGAUUAAAAGAGAGCUUUAUUAAAUCCCUCUUUGAUUGGUCCAAAGUUCUGUUAGAAAUGGGCAAUUCUGAAUGAUGGCUUUCGUAAAUGGUCUUAGUUGUGGAUAGUUUGGUUUUGAGUUGAGGUUGUUUUUUUAUUCGUUGUUUUGUUUUUUUUGUGUUUACUCCCAGUAUAUGUAAGGUAUGCCCCCUUUCAUUGGCAUGCUCUUUUAAUAUAUUAUCCUUUUGCUUAUCAAAAGAAAAAAAGAAAAAAGAAAAAAGAAAAAUAAAGAGAACACAUAAAUCAGGGGAAGGAUGAAGGAAUUAAACCAAUAGGAAUGAGAAACAGUUGGGUAUAUUUUUUCGACAGAUACUUCAUGCAGCAGGGGCAAGAUGGGGGAAAACCUUACCACUCCUGGUGCCAUAAAUGUGGCAUAUAUGCAUCGUGUUCUAACUCCACACCUAGUACUAUAAUUUUCACAGAAGACGAUCACCCUUCCCCACCCAGCAAAUCUAAAAUCAAGUUGCAAAAUGAAUCUUCUAGACUGCUUUCGGAUUUCUCCUAAACAUCAAAAUAAACAAAUGAUAGGCAUACUGUUCCAUAGAAGUCUUACUUGCAAAACAAGAUCCACAUAAGUAGGGGGCGAUGCAUUACAACGGUUACAGCAACAGGAAAACCAAUACUUCACCCAUAACUCUGCAUGUCUAAUUUCCUGGAAAAUCAAAUCAGUGCAAAUAAAAGCGUAUAACGUGAACUCAAAAAACUAAAAAAAAAACAGAGUAUAGAAGGAUGAGUUGGAACACAUUUUAGCACAAUGCCACUGAGUUCACUUACACUAUGGUGAUUAUGCAAGUAAUAUAAAAUCAUGCAACUUCUCAUUAGGUCGACUCCUUGUCAUUUUUCGCAAUCACUUCAAACAUAAGGCACAAUGCAAUAAUCUAAAAGCUUAAAAGUAAUAGCAGAUAUGCCAAAUUUACAAGCACAUUUUGCACAUUCAAUCUCUUAACAGUGGAACUGUAGAUACUGAAAAUGAAGAUUACCUUAGGCUGCAACAGGUCUAUGUAUGCAACCCACACCUCCUCACCCUUUUUAAUUGCCUUGAUGCUCCGAACGAUGAUUCUUGGCCCGUGUAUGUUGCAUCCUUUACUAGAGAAAAUCAAUUACAAGUAGAUAAUCAAAAUAUCCAAUAAAUUCACAACUGAUUUUUUUGAGAAACCAAAUUGAAAAAAACAUAAAAUAAUUAAAAUAAAAAAGAUUCAAUCACCUUCUAUUGAUUCACUUUUGCUACGAACAGCAUUCUGUAUCUGAAAAACAUUUCGGUUUCAUAAUUUUCAAAUCCUUUGAAUAUGGUUAAAAUUAAAGAAACAAUUCAGAAUUUAGGAAUAGUGAUCUAUUUUUCUUUACUUCAAUUUCAUCAUUGCCUCCAGGGAUAAUCUGGAGCCUCGACUCGCCAGAAAACUGGGGCGUCUCAGGUGAACGGAGCAAGAAACGGUAACAAGCAUUGGGAGAACAGCUGUGAUUGAUCCAAGAGAAGCACCAAUCGUAGACGGCUAUCCCUAGGGCGGACCCUCCAUUAACCUGCACUUCAACUGCAUUGGUGAGGACCAGGCAGAGCAGGGCCUCCUCCAGUUUGGAGUCCCCGGAGAAUUCCGUACCAUCUCGCAUACAUCGGGCAACGGCCAUGGCCUUGCCGCCGUCUCGGAUUCUCGUCAGAGUCUCAUCACUUUCCGAGUUGUGGGAGGGUGAGAUGAGGUGGUGGAGGUUGGUGAGUAGGCCGCAGAUUCGAUGGAGCGGUUGGGUAUGGAGGGGAGGGAGGUGGAGGAUGUGGAGGAGGCGGAGGGCAGCACGGAGGUCGGAGGAGUGAGCGGUGGAGGGGUGGGAAUGGCGGAGGAGGAGGAAGAGGUGGUGCUCGGCGCUGGAGAAGUGGAGGGGGGAGUCGGAGGCGGAGCAUGGUGGAGAGCAGUAGCAGAGAAAGGAGGAACUAGGGUUGGUAUUGACGAGAACAGUGGGCGGUAGAGGUGAGAAACAGGCGGAGCAGUGAGAGCGAAGGUGAGAGUCGUGGAGAGAGGAGGCUAGGGGUGGGAGUGGAUGGGUCAGGUCUAACCCCAUUUCUGUGUCCUCUCUCAUUCUCAUCUCCAUUCUUUACCAUACGGAUUGCAGGCAUUCUCAAUUCUAGUUCUUAAUACUGCUGCUCCCUUCUCCCCCUUCCUAAACCAUCCAUUUAGGAAAGCAGAAAUAUAACCACAGUUUAUUUACUUAUUUAUGAUGUUUCUAAUACACAACACCUGCAAAAAUUAAUGACAAAAUCUGUCCCAAUGGAAGGUAGACAAGAGCACAGACAUCUGAGCACAUAUUUACCAGCCUUAUCAUAUCAACAAACAAUAGUUGAAAUGCCAUUCUUCCUGAGAGUUUGGCCCCUUGAUCAAGACUGCCAUGAAGCAAACCCAUAAUUCAUUAGAGGAGGAUACCAUGUUUACUCUCAUUGGCAGUGGGCGGACCUGGGAAUGAGUCAAGUGACAGAACUCUGAAAACUUGCCUUGAGGAAAUCCCUCAACAAAUCCAAACAUUACUGGGUUGCCUUCAUAAUAAUUAUAAAGAAAACAAAUUCUUCCCAUUGAAUUUCCAGGACAAGUGCAACAGCUGUGCCAAUUUCCAACAGCUUAAACAAUUGAGUAAUCAAAAUUGUUUGUCUCUACAUCAACUGAUGGAGUCCACCGGACCAUGAUCAAAUUUCAUCAUAUUUUACAGAUAAAAUACCAGUUAUUUAGAAAAGCAUGGAUUGUGAUCUUCCUGUGCAGUUUUCCUUCAUCACAUCCCGUAUGCGACUUCAGUUGCUUCAUUACAUCAGUUUCUGAUUUCUAACUUGAACAACUGUAUUAACACCCAAAAGGAAAAAAAGGAACUAAGGGACUAUUUAACAGUUAAGACUAGAAGGGUUUUAGAAUUGAACUGGAAAGGGUUCAAAUAGAGGAAGAAGGAAGAAACUCACCAAAAGAACUAUUGUUUCACUUUUAGUGUGGUCUCAAUGCGCUGGAUGAGCUGAUCUGCAGUCAAAGCACCUUCCUGGAAUUCAUCAGACAGGAAUAGUAACAAAGAAAUUAGAACAUAAAAAAUAAAUAAACUAGUGGCAAUAUAACAACCAAAAGAAAAAUACAAUCAAAAGUACAGUGAAAACCAAGAUAAACAAUUGACUAAGGUGCCACUGUACAACCAGAGGCCCAACCAUGCAUUGUAUAAAUGCGGAAGAAAAUUCUGUAGACAUCAUCUCCUAUGCCAAGGAGAAAACCUUCAUUGGCUAAUCCCAUGAAAAAGUAUAAUUCAAUAGAGUCAAAGUGUGUGAAAACCAAGCCAGUGCUACAAGCAGGAAGCCUAAGAACUGAGUCAUUGCCAGUGUAAGCUUUGCCUGUAAGUAAAGAAGGCAGUUAACAAUCAUGUUACAGGGGCUGCCCAUUCACAGGCACGUGCAAGAUGAAAAUCAUGUGGGCAAUUCAUGACAAUUUCCCAAAAAGGUUUUUUUGUACAAGUGCAUACUAGAUACGAAUUCCACUUACAAAGCGAUCAUAUGGCUUCCCAUCUUUAAAUAUGAUGAAAGUAGGCAAUGCCUCUAUUCUGUACUUAUCAGCAAUGCUCGGGUAUUUCUCAGUAUCAAUUUUCACCACCUGGAUCUUGUCUUUCAGAGAAGCACCGACUUCGUUGAGGAUAGGAACCAUGAACUGACAAGGGCCACACCUGGAAACCAGUACUUCGUUACUUCUAGUUUUAUUUAGUUCCCUCAAUAUCUCAUAGAAAUAGAGACUCCUUAGAACAGCACACCCUCAAGGAAACACUUUAAUGAGGGACUGCCCUACUGAGUAGCAUGUCUUAUUGAUGGAAUAUAAUUUGGCUUAAAAACUCACAUUUUGCUGCCAAGACAGCUAAUUCAGGUUAUCAUCUAGCUUACAACAAAAUAACAAACCAUCUCAUAUCAUUUUCCUUCUAUUUAAAGAGCAAAGAAACGGUGGCAAGUAUGGGAUUUAUUUUAUUUCAUUUUUUUUUUUUAAAAAAAAAAAACUCACCAAGUUGCAUAGAAGUCUACCAGAACAGGUUUUUCAGAAUUUGCUAGCAAUUCAUCCAAGGAAGAAAAUGUUUGCUUCUUUGCUUCAACCUAAAGAAAUCACAACAAUGUGGAAGUUACCCAUUAAUUUAUAGACACAUUCAGAAUUUGGUAGUCCAACCAUGCUUAUCUAAAUAUGCCAAUAUAACAGAGUCAAUUAGGAAAAUGUCCCAAACUCCUAAGAUAUAAUAUUAACAUAAAAUGUUUGUUCAGAAUGCAGAGAAACAAAAACCAAGAUACCUGUAAUCUGACAUUACAAAAAAAUGAGUCAAUUUACUCUGAGUCAAUUUAAAUUGGAAUUUAUGAACAUUCCAAUAUACUUUACUCUGGGUAACAGGCAGUUAGUAAGCAUGUCAAAUCAAAUAUUUAAGCACCAGUUAGAUAUCUAGAUUACAACUUUUCAUGACUCUUUAACUUUGAAAUCAUAGCUUCCAACUUGGAAGGUUAACAGGCAAAGCAGUGCACAAUUAUAUGGUCACUAUGACACCUUGUUUCUAGAUUAACUACUAGUCUAUCAGAUGACAAUUGAGUGCUCGUAUGCAGCGAACAAUGGUAUAGAGCUAAAUAGCAGAUGAAGUACAUUAGCUGGUUUACAUUGUCAAAUUGGAAACUAUGGGUAUGUUUGGAAUUUGCUUUCAAAAACAGUUUUAUGUUUUUAAGAACAAAAAUAAAAUAAAAUAAAGGAAAACAUGUUUGACAAUCAGGAAACAAGAUGUUUUAUGAGAAUAUAUUUUAAUUGUUUUCAGUCGUUUUCACUUAAUUUUAAAUAUGUUUUAAAGGAUAAUCCUACAAAUAUGGAGAAUGAUUGAAAAUAAAGCACUACAACAAAAGUUAUUUUAAAAAACAUAGAAAUUAGGUUGACAACAUUUCAAGUUCCAAUGAAAUGUUUUCAAACAGACUUCCAUUCUAGAAAACAUUAAAAAACAAUUUUCAAAAACCAUUUUUCAAAACUGUUUUUGAAAACACUUCCAAAUAGAGUCUAUAUAACUCUAUUAUUUCCUUUUAUUUUUCUCUAUUAAGAAAACCAUGUGUUGUCUGUCUCUCAUUUACAUGACCUAACAUUUCUCCUCAACUCAAGCGUUCACACCCUCAAUUAAGCAACCCAAACGCACUUAAUCCCAAAGGUUGUGUUUGUGUUUGGCCCUCGCAACCAACAAAUGCAACGACAUGAAAAUGCUGAAAUUAACUUCAUUCUCACUAACCAAUCUUAAUUUUUCCAGGAAUGACUAUCCUCUAAACAAACAUAUGCGCAAUCAACAAGAAAAACGCACGAGAAAAUAAAAGGCGAAUCCUUGCAUCUAGCACAAAAUGUCUCCACCAACUGAUCCAACACACCACAACACAUUCCCAAAGCAGAAUAUACAAACACCGUUCACAAGAAUUCGGAAAAUUCCAAUAAAAAAAAUCCACAACAUUCUGAAUUUUAAUAAUAAUAAUAAUAAUCAUAAAAAAGGCACCGAAGCAAAACAAAUUACCACAGGAAGGGUUCGAGGCCUAGACGGGGAUGAAAUUCCGUUGUUGCCGAUUCGAAUAGGGCGGAGCUGCCUAGGAAACUGCAAGGGGGACGAUGAGAAGAGCUUGGAAGAAGGGGAGGAAGAAGAAAAGGCUAAAGGAGUGGGGCGUUGAGAAUUCAACGCACGAACUGUAGAGAAAGUGAGCGAGGUGGCCAUUGGAGAGAAACCCUAGAACCAGAUGUUUUGGAUAAAAAUGGAACUGGACCAGAAAAAUCUGCUGGGAAGGGAGGAGAAAAAGAAGUGCGGAGACGAAGAGAACAAGAAGAGAGAUGUUAAGGUGCGGAGGUAUAGUAGAAUAAUAAAUAGGAGGACCAGAUCCGCGGGUGUGGGAGUUUCACAGCUAUGAUCCGACGGCCAGCAUACAUUAUCACACUUGGAGAUCCCAGCAGCCAGAUGCGUGUACUCUCCAUUUUUUUAUUUUAUUUUCACGUGAACCCCAAGGGAAAAUGACUACUCCAAUAAUUUACAUUUUCUUUUACCAAAAAGAUUAAAAAUCGGAUUCAGUAUCCAGAAAGGAUAAAAGAUUUUAAAUAAUUCAAUAUAAAACAUAAUGAGAAAAUCUUUAUAGAAUCAAUCCAACCACGUUCUAGUAAGAAACACCAGUGGGGGCAAGAAGUGGAACUACCGGUAAGCCAACAAGAUCCUCUUCAAAUUCAUGCUACAUUUUAUUAGACCAAUGUCUAAGGCCAAAAAUGAAGACUACAUGUGAGGAAAACGGUUGAGUCUAAAUCCUACAAACUUAAGUUUUUUUAAAAAUCGAUUAUUCAAUGGAAUGAAGAUGUAAAUAAUAAAACAAUGAGACCGGACAUGGUAUAAAACAAUAGGAUCUAAAUGCAUGUAUGAUACGACCUGAUUGAUCAUGCUUUUUGAUAUCGAUUUGGUAAUGUAAGGGGACCUUUUUUAACAUUACGUGAGUUUGGUAAAGGAGGCUGACUUUAUGGGCUGGAUGAACACGUAUGACUGGAGAUGAGAGGAGCAGCAAUACAAUGUUGAUCAUCACUUUACGUAGGCUCCUGCAUGCCACAAUGUUGAUCGUCACUUUCCAGAACACUAAAACCAUUUCAGGGUUCAGAGAAAAUUCGUAAGAGUCCGCACUCAAAACAGCUCUCUUAACAAUAAACUUGAAACAUCAAAUAAUGUUAAAUUACAACGUGGAAGGUUGAUGUCGUGGCAGUAAGUUAUGGCCAAACCUCAUCCAUCACUAGUCAAUGUGAGUGCCAGAAAAACUACUGUAAGUGCAGAGAAUAUGGUUGCACAGGCAAAUACCCACAUCGCCCUGCUCCUCACCCUGCCACUACUAUGGCUUGCCGGGCUGCCCAUCUCGACCUCUUUUAGAAGCUCCCUCACCUCAUCCAUAUUUGAGUCUUUUGCAGCUUGGGUUAGUCUACCAUGAAUUUUAUCAAGCCUACUCAGCCUUUUACUUCGGGAUGCAUCCUUGGCUGACCAGAUAAAACCCGUCAUCUUCCACAGAAGAAUGCCCACAUAGAUGGCCACAACACAGUCCACAGUGUAAUGGUGGCGUUCCCGUAUUUCCCUUUGGGCACUGUGCAAUACAAACAGCCAUAUGACAGCCGAGCUGAAACCUCCAUAAGCUUCCUGCAAACAUUUUUUUUGACACAGAGAAAGACACAAAAUUUAGUAUUAUGCAUUUUAAGCCUCAGUGCUACUGAUCAAUAAAUGUCAAGAGGAGGGAUUGCAAGUGUUUAAUAAAUAUACCGUCCAAGCCAUAGCAGUCAGUACUGCUACAAGAAUGUGGCCACUGUAUAUGAGGUCAUUGCAUCCUCCUCCAGCUUUCUUUAGCAGAUUGUACCAUGACCCGUCAGUAGUAGUUGGUCGCAGGAAGUCUAUAAGGAAGCUCAUUGAACCCCAAUCAGGACGAAAGUCACCAAGGUAAUUUCCAACAUCAGCUGAGAAAGAGGAAGAGAAUUAUUAAACCCACCUCCCUGUAAAACAGGAACCCAUCUGUAGUAGUUCUUAGGGUAGAUCUAAUAAUGGAGAACAUAGAACUCAUGAAGGUUACAGAAUUUAACCCUUUUUCCAACAUUGAAAACUAAAGAAAACUCUCUCAGGGCUUCUGUACAUGUCAACAAUGAAUUUAGAUUUCCAGGAGAUUGGAUGUUGAUUGAAUUGAAGAUUCACUAAAAUCUUGUAAGCACCUUAGUUAUUCCAAACCCAAUAGGCAAGUAGAAGAUGCGAACCUAAGAAUUAAUAGGACUUAUAAAGAAAUUUCAUAGAGAAAAUUGAGAUGAAACAGUGAAUCUGGACAAUAUGAUUUUUGCCAUGGGUACUCUAGCAGUAAUCAAGCGAAUAUAGAGCUUAAAAUCCCUUUUUCUCGCCUCAAGGCUCCACUACAAAACCCCUUCAAAUGCAUUAAACCCAUAAAAUGAGAGGAAAUUAGUUGGGUACAAAACACAUACCAUAGGCUAUAUCACGUUCUAUUACUUGACGAAUAGCAGCUGGAUCCGAAGCAUAAGGGACAUAAUAUUUUUGAGCCCAAUGAUGUGGGUGUGCAGGAACUCUGAAGCGGGCAAAAGCACACCAAGGCCGGGCCGAUGGCAGAAUUGUAGAUACAAAAGUUAUGGCCCGAAGAAAUCGCCCUAUUGCCAUGGUGAACAUGUACCUAGCACCUAGCCCAAGGCCAGGAGCUUUUACAGAGUCGAAUAAUACUGAGAAAGCCAGCAUCAUGAACAGCAUCAAAAAAUGGUGCAAUCCAAUAAUAUGCGCUCUAAGUAUCUCAACCACCGUAGGAGGAAGUUUCUCAUUCAACGCCAGGAGAAACCACUGGCCAGUGUCAGGAAGGGGAGGAGUAUCACUGCCAGACAUGAAUAAGCCAAUUGAUUGUCUCAUUGCUCAACAUACAGUAAACACAAAGUUGAACUAGUGUUGAAAGAUUAUGAUAUUAUCUUGGUAGAAAUAUUCCUGAAAAUGGACUCAGCUGUUGAUAAAUAUCCAUGAAGCAUUCUGGAGGAUCAGAUCCACUAACAGAAACUAUCACGUCUAAUAGAUGUUUUCUGAUCCAGUUGCAAUGAGUUGAUAGCAUUUUCAGGUUAUAUCAAAUGAUUCUUUAAAGAAGAAAUUGCAGCAUCUGCAAUAAUUAAAUCUCUGUCUCUCUAUAGGGAUUUUCAGAUUCAGCUUGAAUAAUGAUCCUGAAAAAGAGGAAUCAUUGCAUCUGUAUGUAUUUAAAUCUCUCAGUCUCCUGAGAUGUUUUCAUAUCUAGUUCAAAUGACGCGUGACUUUAUUUUCAUGUUAUAUCAAAUAAUACUUUAAAAAAGGACCUUUUUUAUGGGCAAAAAGUGAUAUUAUCAACAGCGCAUAAUCAGAAGAGGGCACACCAAAGCUUCAAAAAAGGACUUGUUGCAUCCUAUGUAUUUAAAUCUCUCUUUCUGUGAGUGCGUGCAUCAACAUAUAAAGCAUUACCUAUGUUAAGGAAUCAACAUGAUACGAAUAAAAGUGUCCUUGUUAGGGAUGUUUGAAUAUAAUAACACUUAUGUACAUACAGCACAGUUAUAAAUUCUCUCCUUCUCUCUCUGUGUGUAUGUGAAAAUUUUCAAUCUUACCUACAUGCAACCUGACACCAAUACAAGUAUCCUCAUUGCUGAGUGGUUUGCAUAUGAUAAGAACAUUUAUGUGUGUGUAUAUAGUUAAGGGUUGGGCCCCAAUUUUAAUGAUGAUUUUUAGCAAGAAGACUUGAAAAUCAAUUUGAAACCCUUAGUUAGUGUAAUCGGUAGUCUUUUUGCAUAUAAGCAAAGUGAGGGCAUACUAUAUAAGAAUGAAAGACCUUACUUUAACUUAGGAGACCACAUUGAACCUUAAUUUUUACAUGAAAAUCUCUAAAGGUUUUCUAAAAAGUUUAGUGACUUAACUGACAUUUUUCUGUACUUGAAAAAUACUCAAAAGCAUUGGUUAAAAUAUUUUAACAGUUUUCUAAUGUCUUAAAGUCCCUUAAAGGAUGGUUAAAGCCCUCGAUAAGAGUUAUCGGAGCAUCAAAAUGCAAUGGGGUAUGUAUGUGGUCAUCUAGGCGAUCGUCCAUAUGUGCUUUUUACCAUGCUGAUGUCCGGUUCUAGGGGACUUUUGUGUUUAAUAGGUAGUUUGAUUUCAAAAAGGAAUAAAUGCAUUGCCUUAGACACAUAUAACAUAGGCCUAACAAAUGCAAAUCAUUACUAUUCCAUUGAAACCUUUCUUUAAGACAUUCAAGUAUGCUUUAAACUUAUACUUGCUAACCCUCAUUUAAGAUGCUUAAACUUGAACAUUAAAUUACCUAUCUACUCUUUGUUAGAGUGUUCAUUGUAUUUUUUCUUUCAAUUGCAAUUUAGUGAGAUUGUAAGAAAUGUGUAUGAAUAACAUCUUGAAGUUAUAAAGAACCUGAUGGCCUCCUAUACGUAAUGUGUAUACUAGAAAGGGGAAGAGGAGUGUACUGCCACCUGGCAGCUAGUUGUAAUAGUCUUAGUACAGGUUGGAAGGAGUGUACUGCCAGGUGCAAUUAGCCAUAACGGUCUUAGUACAGGCUGGAAUAACUUUAGGAAAAAGAUGGAAUUUGUGGAGCAGCUGGCUGUUGUGUGAGUCUGGUGGGAGAGUGAUAGCCUCUCGAAUAGCCAUCUUUGUAUCUGUUUGGCCCUUUUCUUGAAAUUUUGGAAAUUCAAUAAUAUUGCUAGUAAUUUUUUCUUCAUUAGAUACCUAUCAAUUUGGUAUCAGAGCAUUGAUCCAGAUGACUCAGAAGAAGAAUGAUGGCCGGGUGGAUUCUCUGGAGAAGGAAGUUGGAGAAAUCAAAGAGGAGAUGCAGCGCCUACUGGGAAUGGAAAAGACCGUGAUGGACCUUGCCUAGAACAUGAUGUGAGUUCUGCAGUUGCUGAAAUUGACACAGAAGGCAGUGGGGGUGUUGUCAUCAGGGCGGGUCACGACGAUUCCUCAUUGUGAGGGAGGCAGGGUGGAUCGAUGCAUGGGAGUAUGAUUGCUACUCAAUGAGAAGACCAUGCGGAAUGGAUCCCUGGAGUUGGGGAAACCAAUGGGGGGUUGGAUAGUGAUGGAUGAGAUGAGGCGAGGCAGAAACGGGGAAUGGCAUGGAGAUGGCACUUGGAGAUGCCUGUGUUUAUGGGAGACAACCCGAACGACUCGAUCUUUCGAGGUAAUCAAUACUUCAUAAUGAAUGGACUCACGAAAGAGGAGAAAUUAGUUGCCCCUACGAUGAGUCUUGAUGGGGACACACUUUCUUGGUACCAGUGGAUUGAUUCGAGAGAGGCAUUUGGGAGCUGGGAAAAUUUGAAGAGGCGACUGCUGCUCCGCUUUCGUCUGACUCAAGAAGGGAGCCUUUGUGAGCAGUUUCUUGCAGUGCGUCAGGAAGGGAUAGUGGCGGCUUACUAGCAGGAGUUUGAGAUUCUAGUUGCUCCCUUGAAGGGGAUUUCUGAGGAGGUAAUAGAAAGCACAUUUGUGAGCGGACUGCUUCUUGAGAUUUGGGUUGAGAUACAUUUUCUGCAACCAUGUGGGCUAGGCCACUUGAUGGAAAUGGCUCAACAGGUCGAAGACAGAAAUUUAAUCUUGUGGGCGGCCCAUGAACCAAGGGACCCAAAGAACACCAAAAUAUUGUCGUUCGCAAAUCGGGGGGAUUGGAAGACUAGGGAAACUUUUCAAACUAGGGCAAUGACUACUAGUGAUGUGAGAUUCUGAGUCUCUGACAAAGAGAUUGACGGAGUAUGAGCUCCAAGCCCGUAGAGAGAAGGGACUUUGUUUUUAGUGUGAUGAGAAGUUCUCACUUGGCCAUCGUUGUAAGAAGGAAUUAAGGGUUUUGCUGGUGCACGAAGAUGAGGAGGAGGAUAAUCAGUUUGAUGGUGAAGCAACUGUGGAACCUCCACUGAUUGAGCUGAAAGAUGUUGUGAAGUUAUCUCUAAAUUCUGUGGUCAGUUUAACAACAUCGGGGACUAUGAAAAUCAAGGGGACGAUCAAGCUGAAUGAGGUAAUCAAUCUUGUGGACGGUGGGGCUACCCACAAUUUUUACCCCUUGAUUUAGUUCAAUGAUUAGCACUUCCAUUAACUACAACAACCAAUUACGAGGUGGUGAUGGGAAUUGGGAUAUCCGUGAAAGAGAAGGGCAUUUGUAGGGGAGUUUGUAUUUCGAUGCAGGGGCUCACUGUAGUGUAAGAUUUUCUUCCACUUGAAUUAGGCAACACUGAUGUAAUUUUGGGAAUGCCUUGGUUGGGGACUUUAGGAUACAUGGAGGUAAAUUGGAAGAUGCUAAUGAUGAAGAUCAAAAUGGGGAAGUGGUGAUAUUGUUAAAGGGAGACCCAAGCCUCAGUAAGACCAAGGUGUCUCUUAAGGCAAUGGCUAGAGCAUUGCAGCACCGUGGCUAGAGGGUGUGGGUGGAACUCUAUCAAAUUUCCACCGAUUCAAGUUCAAGUGAAGGAGUAUAGGAGGUCCCAAAAGCAGUCAAAGAAGGACUAGCUCAACAUCAACAAGUCUUUGGGCAAAUGACGGAGUUACCACCGAAUCGUAAUAUUGACCAUGCCAUCCGAUUGAUUUUGAGAGCGCCACCAGUUAAUGUUCGUACCUAUCGAUACCCACAUAUUCUAAAGAAUAAAAUAGAGAGAUUGGUACAAGACAUGAUUGAGGCAGGAAUUAUUUGGCCUAGCUUAAGUCCAUUUUCUAGUCCAAUGUUGCUGGUUAAAAAAAAAAAGAUGGAGGAUGGAGGUUUUGCAUAGAUUAUUGUGCACUCAACAAAGUUACAAUUCUGGAUCGGUUCCUUAUUCCAGUAAUCAAUGAGUUACUUGACGAACUUCAUGGCAUAACCAUUUUUUCCAAGCUAUACCUCAAAUAUGAUUACCACCAUAUUUGAGUUCGAUAACAAGAUAUCCAUAAAACAGCGUUCCGCAUCCAUGAAGGUCACUACGAGUUCUUGGUGAUGCUUUUUGGGCUAACCAAUGCAUUGACGACCUUCCAAUCGUUAAUGAACCGUAUAUUUCGACUACAUCUUUGGAAAUUCGUGCUUGUAUUUUUUUAUGACGUACUAAUUUAUAGCAAGGACUUGAAGGAGCAUUGUGAUCACUUGCAAAGGGUGUUGUUCAUUCUGGCUAACCACUAGUUGCACGCCAAUGAGAAGAAGUGUCUCUUUGCUAAACCGCAGCUAGAAUACUUGGGUCGUUUGGUUUCUACUGAGGGGGUUGCUGUUGACCCCAACAAGUUUCAACCAUGAUAGAGUGACCCACACCCAAAUCCCUCAAAGAAUUGCGAGGGUUUCUUGAAUUGACCAGGUACUACCGUCAAUUUGUCAAGGGAUAUGGAGAUAUUUCUUGGCCCCUCAGUUAGCAACUCAAAAAGGAUGCUUUUAAUUGGAACCCAGAGGUUGAGAUUGCCUUCCAAAAGUUGAAAACAGUUAUGACAACAGUUCCUAUUUAGGCCUUGCCCGAUUUCACUCAGCUCUUCAUUGUGGAGACGGAUGUCUCGAGGUAUGGUUUAGGCGCUAUUUUGAUGUAAGGUCAAUGACCGAUGGCUUAUUUUAGCCAAGUCCUCUCGGUAAGGGUGUGACAAAAGUCCAUAUAUGAAAGGGAGUUAAUGACUAUUGUCUUAGCAGUUUAGAAGUGGCGUCACUACUUGCUUGGUCACCACUUUAUUGUGCGAACGGACCAAAGUAGUUUGAAGUUUUUGUAGAGCAAAGGGUGGUGAAUGAGUCGUACCAAAAGUGGGUCACAAAGUUGUUCGAGUACAAUUUUGAAAUUCAGUUUCGGCCUAGAUUGGAGAAUAAGGCAGCUGACGCCCUAUCUCGCAUCCCCAUAUCUAUUGAGUUAGGUACCCUCAUGGUUCCCAAUCGCUUGGACACUUCGGUGGUUUAUUCACAGGUUGAAGCUAACCCUCACCUUGCUAAGAUUUGACUAGGGUUGUUGGUUAAUCUAGAUGCUUAUCCUUGAUAUUCUUUGGACCAUGGCCUUCUUGUCUACAAGGGGUGCCUAGUUCUUCCCAAGGCCUCACCCCUUAUUUUGACACUUCUUCAAGAGGGCAUGCUAGCGUGGUUGGAGGUCAUUCUGGGUUCUUGCGGACUUACAAAUGGCUCACAUGGGACUUUUUUUGGGUUGGCAUGAAGAAUGACAUCAAAGGGUUUGUGGAAAAGUGUUCAAUGUGUCAACAAAAUAAAGUCUUUACUUUGUCACUGGUUGGGUUAAUAAAAACCAUUGCCUACUCCAGAAAAAAUAUGGGUUGAUGUGAUGAUGGACUUUAUUGAGGGGCUCCCUAAGUCAAAGGGUUAUGAUUCCAUCUUAGUUAUUGUUAGAUUGAGCAAUUAUGCUCACUUCUCCUUGCUUAAGCAUCCUUUCACAGCCUAAAUGGUGGUUGCUGUUUUUGUUUGUGAUAUUGUCAAAUUGCAUGGAAUUCCCUAUUCCAUUAUUCCGAUCAUGACAAAGUAUUUCCUAGUCGAUUUUGGAUGGACCUAUUCCGAUUGCAAGGUACCUCCUCUGUCGUGGUACUGCUUACAUCCUCAAAUAGAUGGAUAAACGGAGGUGGUCAACUGUUGUGUGAAGGCAUACCUUUGAUGCUUUUCAUAUGACAAGCCUCGAUGUUAGUCUACAUGGCUUCCGUGGGCGGAGUACUAGUAUCAUAACAUGUUCCACGCAUCCACUAAUAUGACAUUGUUUUGAGCGAUUUAUGAGUAGGAAGCCCCAUCAUUGCUACGUUAUGGAUCAGAUUCUACAUUUGUUUUGCCAGUGGAUCAGUUGCAGUAAGAGCAUGAUCGAAUUUUAAAUGAACUGAAGGACCAUCUCAGUUGUGCCCAGUCCAAAAUGAAGUCAUCUGCAAUGUCCAUCGUCGUGCAAUGCAAUUUGAAGUUGGGGAUUUUGUCUAUCUCAAUCUUCGUCAUUACCGUCUUCGUUCCCUUGCAAGGCGACCCAAUGAAAAGCUCUCUCCAUGGUAUUUUAGCCCUUACAAGGUGGUGCAGCAAAUUGGUCUAGUGGUGUACAAGUUAGAGCUCCCUUCUUCCACAACUAUUCAUCCAGUGUUUCAUGUUUCACAGCUCAAGUGGGCUCUUGGUUCAGCUGAUUUAUGUCAGCCACUUUCCCCUAGUCUUGUUGAUGAUUUCGAGUGGCUUGUGGAGCUUGAUCAAGUCUUAGGUGUUCGACAGUCUCCCAAUAUCAAUCCUCCUAUUAGUGAAGUACUUAUCCAAUGGAAAGGACUUCCGCAGUUUGAGGCUUCAUGGGAAUCACUCGACAUGAUUAAGGAGCACUUUCUUGGCUUCCACCUUAAGGACAAGAUGUCUUGCAUUGGGGGGAGGGGGAGGGGGGUUGUCGAUGAUAGGCUUCCUAUACGUUAUGUGUAUCCUAGAAAGGGGAAGAGGAGUGUAUUGCCACCCAUGGUUUGAAAUAUUGGUAAACAGGGAUAUAUCAGCACUUGAAUUUUACAGAUAUAUCGGAAAUAUCAGAGAAAUAUCAAUGGAUAUUUUGACAAAAAUAUUGGUAAGGGGAAAAUUAUUCAAAAAUCAUGGAAAUAUUUGGAAAAACUCCAAAAAAUGAUAAAAUAAAUAAAAUAUACAUGUUAAAAUUAUUUCCUAAGUGUAAUUGACAUACAUAUGGUUAAAGAGAAAAAUAUCAAUAAGUAAAGAUAAAUCAAUAUUAAUAAUUUAUUAUUUAUUAUUUAUCUAAUCAAAUUAAUUUUAAUUUAUAAAAAAUUAAAACUUCAUUAUUAUUAUUAUUAUUAUUAUUAUUAUUUUAGUAUUUUUUGAAAAAAUUUAUAUUUUUAAUAUUUUAAAAUAAAAGCAUUCAAAAUUAAAUAAAAUUAAAAUGAUAAAUAUAAAAAAUUUAAAAGUGAAUUGAUAAUAAUUUUUUAAAAUAGGAUUAAUGAGAUAAAUGAUGAUACAUUUAAUAUUAAAACUAUAAUUUAUUUAAUUCAAAUGCAUUCAAUAAUGUAAAAUAAAUGAUGAUGCAUAUAUGAUUUUUUAAUAUUUAUAUUUUUUAUAUUUAAUUAUCACAUAAACGAUAUUAAAAAAUAUUUGUUGAAAAAAUUAUAAUGAUGGAUUUUAUACAUUUAUUAAUUAAUUAAAUAAAAUUUAAAGUAAAAUAAUUAUAAUUAAUUAAUUAAUUUUUUAAUAAUAAACUUUAACAAAUUUAUUAUCAACAUAUAUUAUUAAGUGUGAACUUGGCCCAGUGGUAAUUAGGCUUAAACCCAAGCUUUUUGGCUUGAGUUCGAAUCCCCUAAGCCGCAGCAGCAACGUAAACAUUUCAAAAAAGUUUUGACCACCAAAAAUAUUGAGAAAUAUCCUGAUAAAUCAGAAAAAACAUUUCACCGCAAAAAUUGACGAAAAGUCGGCCGAUCGAUUAUCGAUGAAGAAUAUUAUGUCAGUCAGCUCCGAUAACUGAAAUAUUUUUGCCAAAAAAAUCCAACAUUUCAAACCAUUCUGCCACCUAACAGUUAGUUGUAACAGUCUUGUAUCUGUUUGACCCUUUUCUUGAAAUUCUGGAAAUUCAAUAAUAUUGCUAGUAAUUUUUUCUUCAAUAGAUACCUAUCAGAACCAUCUAGAACCUAGGGAAUCUAAAUGUAAAUAAGAUUUAAAAGAGUCUUUGUUGAGAAGAUUCUUGGUUUGGUCGAACACUUUAAGGCUUGUGAAGGAGCUCAAAGACGUAGACAUAGGGGUGUUACUAAACCACAAUAAAAUCACAAUGUUUGUAAUCUUUCUUCUCUUAAUUCUCUUUAAUUUCAGUACUUUACUUUUAUUAUUUGCAUCAUAUAUUGUUUGUAUUUAAAUUUGGAUAAAAAGUUCAAAAAGAGACCACCCAAUUCACCCCACCAAUCCCCACUCUCCUGGGUGAUUACCUACAUUUGCUUAGCAAGACUACUUAAAUAUACACAACUGUGAUGGCAAAUCAAGACUAGCAUUGUUGUUGGUCAUAAGAAUUAAAUUGCCAUUCUAAGUAGAUACAUUAUAACAGCUCUGGACAGUCUAUAUGUCUAAUUAUUAGAAAUCACAACUAGCCCUAUAGUUCCAAUAAACUGAACAUAUAUUUGAAAAAAAAAAUCUGGAAAUUCACAAAAAGUUCCAUUAUCUCUCUCCAUCUAUUUGGAAUUGAUAUCACCAGCCAAGGUCAAUGAUUCCAAUUCAUAUACAGUCAGAACGCCCAGAGUAGAGUGUGAUUCCAAUAUUUUCUCCUUACCAGGUAAACUUUUCAGGCAUCCCCAUAAUUUUAGAGAAAUAUAAUUGGUUUUGUCCAAAAAACCUAUUCUUGUUUACUCUAUUUAUCCUAAAUUACUUCAUUUGAUCUCAAAUAUAAUUUGGUUUUUCCUUAAGCUUUUCAUUGAUGCUCAAUGCUCACUCCACACACUUAAUUUCUUAAAUUGCUAAUGUUAUCCUCAGUGGCCAUACAAUAUUCUUUCUUUUUUUUUUUCUUUUUUUUAGACAGAUAAAACCAAUUGCAUUAAAAAUAAAAAUGCCACAAGGACACAUCAAUGUACAUAGGAUGUAUACAAAUAGCACCUAACAGCACAAAAACAUGAAAAGAACCCAAGCAACAACCCCCACCCUUAACCAGAACCCAACCACUCAAUGAAAUAAAGUAAAGACUAAGAAUCUAUCUCUAUGUACUUCUUUACCUAAGUGAACAAAUUCCUAAGAAAGAACAUCUUCAAAAACUAAGCAAAAUGCUCCUCAUUAUCAUACAACCUGAGAUUUCUUAUUACACCAUACAAGAUUCUUAUUACACCAUAAAGGCCCCUAUAUUUGACAGAUAUGCCUGGUUAAGUAGAAGAUUAUGCAUGGAAAACCUAUUCUAAUUCUAUGAUAAAUGUCCUACUUCAUGCCAUCUUCCUUUUGAAUAAUUGGAAUGAAAUGGCCUGUUCGGGAUAUCUACUAAUCAAUGAUUUUUUAAUUUACCAAAAUUUCUCUUCAAGUCAACCUCCAACACUGAGAAGUUCAUUUCUACAAAUUUCUUUGCUAUGUUGCUCCCCUGGUUCCAAGCCAAGAAAAACCACUAAAAUCAAGAUCCCCAACAAACAACCAUCAGUUGAGGUUCAUACACACAGAUACUGGGAAAUGGGACAUAGGCCUUCAAUCCUAUAUUCAAUUAUGACUAUCUUUUGCUAAAUGCCGAUUAAACCAUACUGGAUUCCCUGCCUAAUUGAUAAAAAUAUUGUCAAAAAAAUGCAUAUACAUGAGUUACAGUGUUGAAGGGGAAUAACAACAUAUGGAUUUUAUCACUUCUAUGUAAAACAUUUCGAAUAUUACACUAGAAGAACUUAGAAGUUAUCCAGCAAGCAUACAUUUCACUAAAGAAAGCAUACGCUGUGAACAUGAUUGAUUAGUUCACCAACUUCAACACUUCAUAUCAGCCAUAUCUCCUUGGCCAAAUCAAGGAUGGAACAAGACUCCACAAAAUGUUCUGAAACAUGUGUGCAUAUGGAUAGUUCAAAUAAGCUAUAAAAUUACUUGCACAAAUUUUCCAGCAAAAAAAAUGCAAAAAAUAUUCAAUUGAAGACUUUAUUUUAAUUGCAACUAAUCAUAAUGAAUACCAAAUGCAUAUUGUGAAAGUCUCAAGUGCAGAGUUUGAUACACUGUUCUGCAAGCUUACUGUUAGGCCUUUGGUUCACCAACUACAAAUGGAAGGUUGAAACAAUCAAACCUUGGGCAGCUGGACCACCCUGAAACCUACACAUAUUUUUUUUGAUAAGUCCCUGGAGUCUAGACUAAUUUCGAUUAGUUCUUGCUGCUACAUGCCUAUUUGAUGGGAGGCAGUUUUUUUUUGGGUGAUUAUUAACCAACAUUUUGAUUAAUUAACACUAAAGCUAAACCUCUUUUGAGUUACAAUUAAUCAACAUUUGGAUCCAAGAAAAUUUUAAAGUCAAAGUCAUCAAUAAGGAGCAAACCCUAAAUCUGCUUUGAGUUACAAUGAAUCAACAUUUAGAUCAAAGAGCAUUUUAAAGUCAGACUCAUCACUUAGGGAACAAACCCUAAAUCUGGCAUUUUGAUUCCAGCCACUUUCCAAAUUUAUAUGAAUCAGAAAAACCCGCAAAAUAACACACCGAUUAGUCAACAAUUGAACAAGAAAUCAAAUCUAAAACCUUAGUCAUGUCUUUCAACAAAAUACCUCAAAAUGAAGACAAAUCGAACUCCAUACACAAAGAAAUUAAAGCAAACGCAACGCAAAUCAAACACGACCCACAUAAGAUUAACCCAAAAUGAGAACGUAACACUCAAUACACUUCAAUUUUCAUUUGAUUCGCCAUCUGGCUCCCCCCAUUUUCCAUCCAAAAACCCAUAACCCCAGGGUCCCCAACCAACAGAAAAUGCAACACAACAGUCCAAUUACCUGUGCCAAUCGAGACCGAGAACGGCGGUCACGGAGCGAACAGAGAGAACUUCAAAGAGACAGGUGGAGAGCAUGAAGAUCAUCGAAGCAACAAAGGGCAAAACAGAACGGAACUCCAUGGACCAGUGCUUGUAGAAGGGGACGCGAGCGACGGCUACUAGAGCGAGCACUGACCAGAGAGCAGGCAUUAGCCAGGAGUGCCAUGCCGGAGCCAGGUACCGGAGGUAAUCAACAGCCACGUAGGCUAUGGCGGCCACACCUAGUCCCCCGGCCCUCGCCCUCGCAGUCACCGGAGGUCGCCACUUCAUAGCUGUGGAGAAGAGAGGGAGCAGUGAUCCAAGCAAAAUUAUUUUUCAAAACAUCGUUCCAUUAAUAUUCGUUAAAGAGAAUAGUAACGGAAGCUAUCUGGAAAGCCGGGUUCACAUUCCCAGAAACAUGCAUCCAAAAUAAGAAAGAAAUUUUUUACUUUCUCUAAUUCUUUUUAUCUUUCAUUCUCUCAAUUUUCUCAAUUCUUUUUUAUGAUUUUUUUCCCUAUAAAUAUUAUUAUUAAAAUAAUAUAUAAUUUAUUUCUAUUACUUUAUUUGCAUUGCAUUUAUUCUUGUUUCACAACGAUUUAUCAACACAAAUUGCUUUGAAGGUAAUUAUCAUAUCUUAAACUUGAAGUUAUUUAUAUAGAAUAAAAUUUUACAUAUUUAUAUUAUUGUUGAUUUGUUUUGUCAUAUAUUGUUAAAAGUUAUAAACAAAUUAUUUAACUUUGUUUAUAAUCAAAGUUAUACCAAUGCUAUCAAUUUAUUAUAACUGAUUCAAAUAAUAUUGUUUUGUCAUAUAUAUAUGAAGUUAUUUGACAAUAUCGAAUCUCACAAAACUCGAAUUUGUAGCACUUGAUAUUUCAGGAAAGAACUAUCUAUCUUGGAUCUUGAUGCUGAAAUACAUCUUGAUGUAAUGAAUUUUGGAGCUAUGAUCAAAGAAAGAAAUAAAGCAUCCUUGGAGGAUCGUGUAAAAACAUUGAUUUUCCUUUGUCAUAAUCUCCAUGAAGGUUUAAAAAAUAUAAAAAUAAAUAAUGAGCUUUUGAUGAUAAAUCACCAGUCUCGUCUAACUAGAUUUGAACCAUUCCUUGAAAUGAAUACUUCCUUGAAAUGAAUACAAUAUCGUCAUAAACUCGUGGACGAGGACGUGGUCGUGGUUGUGGAAGAAAUCUCCGAUACCAUGGUUCUUAUAGUAAUAAUUCAUCAAAUUCUCAAAAAAUGAAAGCCUCAUUGCACCAUCAGAAGUGGAACAAUAUUGAGGUAUAACAAAAAAAUGGGAAGUGUUUAUAAGAUAAAUCUCCUAAAAACCAUAAGAAUAAUUGUUAUAGAUAUGGCAUGAAGGGACAUUAGUCGCGUACAUGUCGUACGCCCAAACGUUUGGUUGACCUUUACCAAGCAUUAAUAAAAGCAAAAGGAAAAGAGAUAGAGAUGAACUUUAUCGAUAAUAAUGGAUUGGACCUAACCUACUAUGACAUAGAUUUCUUUGGAGGUCCCAGUAAAAAACAGACCAUUUAAUAAAUGAUGAGAAGAUUAACAUUGAUUGAUGUUAAUUUAUAUAUCAAAUAAUAUAGUAUUAUGUUUUAUAUUUACAUCUGAUUUUUUUUUUUUUGUUAUUUACAUUAUGCCUUGUUUUUUUAGUUAUAUCUGAAAUCCAUGUGUUAUUUGGUCUCAAGAUGAAUGAGGAUGAUGUAUGUCUCACAGACUAUGCAACCACGCACACAAUUCUUUGAGAUAAAAGAUAUUUUUUCGAAUUGACAUUAAUAAAAGCUAAUGUAAGUACCAUAUUUAGUACUACAAACUUAGUUGAAGGCUCUAGAAGAGCAAACAUAACACUACCAAAUGGAACUAGAUUCCAUAUAAAUGACACUUUAUAUUCUAGCAAAUCUAGAAUAAAUUUGCUCAAUUUUAAAGAUAUCCGCAGAAAUGGAUAUCAUAUUGAAACUAUGAAUGAAGAUAAUGUAGAAUAUCUUUACAUUACUUCUAUUAUAUAUGGCAAGAAGCUUAUAAUGGAAAAACUCACGAAUUUCUUUUCUAGGUUGUAUCAUACAACUAUAAAGCCUAUUGAAUCAUAUGUUGUCGUGAACCAGAAGUUCAACAACCCAAAAGUUUUUUUCCUUUGGCAUGACAGACUAGGUCACCCGAGGUCUUCAAUGAUGUGUCGAAUAAUCAAACACUCACAUGGGCAUCCACUAAGGAACCAGAAGAUUCUUUUGCCCAAUGAAUACUCAUGUGCUGCCUGCUCACAAGGUAAAUUGAUAGUCAGACCAUCUUUUACUAAAGUCAUAUAUGAGUCACUAGUCUUUUUAGAAAGAAUACAUGGAGACAUAUGUGGGCCUAUUCAUCCACCAUGUGGACUAUUCCAUUAUUUUAUGAUCUUAAUAGAUGCUUCUACUAGGUGGUCACAUGUUUGUCUCUUUUCUACACGUAAGGUUGCCUUUUCUAGACUCCUUGCACAAAUAAUCAGAUUACGAGUACAAUUUCCAGAUUAUCCAAUUAAGACAAUACAUCUUGAUAAUGCUGGUGAAUUUACUUCUCAAACAUUCAUUGACUAUUGCAUAUUAGUAUGGAUAAAUAUUGAGCAUCCUGUUGCUCAUACUCAUACCCAAAAUGGUUUAGCAGAAUCCUUCAUCAAACAUCUCCAAUUAAUAGCUCGACCAUUACUAAUGAAAACUAAACUACCUACUUCUGCCUAGGGACAUGCUAUUAUGCAUGGUGCAACUUUAGUUCGUAUUCGACUUACAACUUACUAUGAAUACUCUCCUUCACAACUUGUGCUUGGAAAACAACCAAACAUCUCUCACUUGCGAAUCUUUGGUUGUGCAGUAUACGUACCAAUUGCACCUACACAACGCACCAAAAUCGGUCUCCAAUGAAGACUUGGGAUUUAUGUAGGUUUUGAUUCUCUAUCUAUCAUAAGAUAUCUUGAGCCUUUGACAGACGAUGUUUUUACAGCCUGCUUUGCGGAUUGUCAUUUUAAUGAUAGUGUUUUCCCAUCAUUAGGGGGAGAAAAGUCGAUUCCUGAAGAACAACGAGAAAUUAGUUGGAAGACAUCUACUACUAUGACUCAUCUUGAUCUUCGUACAAAUCAAUGUGAACUAGAAGUUCAAAGGAUCAUUCAUUUGAAAAGUCUUGCAAAUCAAUUACCAGACGCAUUCAUUGAUACAAAGAAAGUGACAAAGUCUUAUAUUCUGACUGCAAAUACUCCAACACAGAUUGAUGUCCUUGUAGAACAGUUAACAAAUGAAUCUAAGAUAUGCUUGAAGCGUGGUAGACCUAUUGGCUCAAAGGAUGUAACUUCCCGAAAGAGGAGAACCCAAGAAAAACUUGGCACUAUAAAAUAGGCCAUCAAAAUGACUGAUCAAUUUAAAAUUGAUAAAUCUAUAGCCCCUGAAGAGGCACAUAUUGAACAAGAAGCCCUUGAAGAGGCACAUGUACCUGAAAAUUGUGAGAUCUCAGUAAGUUAUGUACACACGGGAAAAAAAUGGGAUCAAAAUAAUAUUGUUAUUGAGAAAAUAAAGGUUAUGCUUAAAUAAGAAAAACACCCAAAAGGGGAGUGAAUUAGGUUUUUCAAAAACUUUUUCAACACAAAAAAUUUAAGUACAAUAUAAUAAAAAAUAAAGAGAUAGAGUUAUAGAAUUCAAACUUGGAUUUUAUAGUGGUUCAACACUUCUUUACCUAUGUCCACUCUUUUCAAUCUCCUAACUGAGUGAGGUUUCUACUAACUUAAAGCUUCAACCAAGCUUUCAAUUUUCUUACACUUGGAUUCCGACUCCAAUGGGCUCUUACACAAUUUCUUCAAGAUUCAAACCUCUUGAACAUUUUAACACUCAAUUUUUACAAGAAUGAAUCCCUCAACCUAGCUCAAAGAUAACUCAAAUACAAAACAAAGUUAGGAUGACUAACAAGGAUGCAUUAAAAGAUAUGCAAGUGAGGAUUUAAUGCACUAAAAAAGAAAUGAGAGCUUUUAAGCCAAGAACAAGUGGGUAGACAAUUGAUUGCAAGUGUUCUCAAUUUAUAAGUUUCUAAACUCGGGAGCCAAGAAAAGCAAAAGGUAGUCUCGACCGGUCGAGUUGGGGGUUGACCGGUUCACUAGCCAUUGGAGCAUUUAAUGUUUUGACAGGUUACCAUUGCCUAGACCGGGAAGAAGGAAACCUCAAUUGGGAAAAGGAAGCUACUGGAUGAGAAAGAGUGUUUUUGGUACUCCUCGAUUGGACCUCGACCGAACAAGGGCAACCGGUUGAGCCGGUUGGCCAGAACCUCGACCAGUUUAGCAUUUUGGCCCCGAAAACCUAUCUUUUUCAAUUCCUUUCUUUUCUAACACUUAGGCAAGGUCUUUAGGUAAAUUAAUAUGCCAAUUUUAAAACGUUUUGCCUAAGGUACAUUUGAUAAAACUCGAGUUUUAAUGAAAUCAAAAUUUUAAAGAAUAAACUGAGUUUUCAAAGAUGCAUGAAAAUGUAUGAAAAACCUAAAUGCACCCAUGCAUUCAUCUUACAUUCGUUUCCUAUGAUCAAAAGUCUUCCAAAAGUCUCGAUCUUGUAUCCAUUUGGUCAUUUGAUGAAUUUCCGAAUUUAUACCUGAGAUUCUUUUACCAUUCAAAUCAAUUAGUCACUUAACCAUGAUUGGUUAUCAUCAAAACCUGAUUAGGAGAACCCUUGGGCUAACAGUUAUUAACAAUAUUUUCGCUUUCCAAGUAGCCUCUGAUAUCAUAAGAAAUGAUGAAGAUCUUGAACCAAAAAAUAUGGAAGAAUACUGACAUAGAAAUGAUUGGCCAAAAUGGAAAGAAGCUAUACAGGCAAAGUUAAACUCAUUAACAAAAUGAGAAGUUUUUGGACCUAUAGUCCAAACACCUGAAGAUGUAAAGCCUGUUGGGUACAAAUGGUAUUUGUAUGAAAGCGUAAUGAGAAUAAUGAGAUUAUAAGAUAUAAAGUGCAAUUAGUAGCAUAAGGUUUCUCGUAGAGACCUGGUAUUGACUACGAGGAAACAUAUUCUCCCAUCAUGGACGCAAUCACAUUUCGUUUCUUAAUUAGUUUGACAUUCUCAGAAGGACUGGAUGUGUGUCUCAUGAAUGUUAUUACAACAUAUUUAUACAGAUCCAUGGAUAAUGAUAUAUACAUAAAAAUCCCUAAAGGAUUUAAAUUGCUUGAAGUAAAUAGUACAAAGCCUCACAACAUGUACUAAAUCAAGUUACAAUGAUCGUUGUAUGGAUUAAAGCAAUUUGGACGCAUGUGGUACAAUCAUCUUAGUGAAUACUUGCUAAAAUAAGGGUGUGUGAAUAAACCUAUAUGCUCAUGCAUCUUCAUUAAGAAAUCAAAAACCGGAUUUGCAAUUAUUGUAAUGUAUGUUGAUGACUUAAAUCUUGUUGGAACUCUUGAAGAGCUCACAAGAACAACAAAUUACUUGAAAAAUGAAUUUGAAAUGAAAGAUCUUGAAAUUUUUUUUUUCUCGGCCUAUAAGUCGAGUAUUUUCCAAAUAGAGUUUUAGUACAUCAAUCAACAUACAUUAAUAAAGUUUUGAAACAUUUUUAUAUGGAUAAAACGCAUCUUUUAAGUUCUCCAAUGGUUGUCCAAUCAUUUGAUGCGAAAAAGGACCCAUUUUGUCCUUGUGAAAAAGAUGAAGAAUUACUUGGUCCUGAAAUACCAUAUCUUAGUGCUAUUGGUGCACUUAUGUAUCUUGCCAAUUGUACACGUCUAGACAUUGUUUUUUUUUUUUGUCAAUUUAUUAGCAAGAUACAGUUCCGCUCCCACUUGAAGACAUUGGAAUGGUAUUAAACAUAUAUUGCGUUAUCUUUGCGGAACUACUGAUACGAGUCUAUUUUACUCAAGGGAAUCAAAGCAACAAUUGCUUGGAUAUGCAGAUGCAUGAUAUCUUUCAGAUCCACAUAAAGGUAGGUCACAAUUAGGGUAUGUGUUUAAUUGCAAUGGUACUGCUAUUUCAUGGAGAUUUGUCAAACAAACAAUAGUGACCACAUCGUCAAAUCAUUCAAAAAUACUGACAAUUCAUAAAGCAAGUUGUGAAUGUAUAUGACUAAGAUUUAUGAUCCAGCAUAUUCGGGAAUCAUGUGGACUCUCCUUUAUCAAAGGUGACCCGACAAUAUUAUUUGAAGAUAAUGUUGCAUGCAUUACACAAAUAACAGGGAGUUAUGUUAAAGGGGAUAGAACUAAACACAUUUCACCAAAAUUAUUUUAUACACAUGAAUUCUAGAAGAGUGGUGAAAUUGAUGUGCAAAAAAUAUGCUCAAGUGUUAAUCUAGUAGAUUUAUUCACAAAAUCAUUGUCAACCUCAACAUUCAAGAAGUUAAUACACAAGAUUGGAAUACGUCAACUCAAGGAUAUUGACAUGAGGAGGAGUAUGCUUGUAAAAGGGUGUUAGUGUACUAUACUCUUUUUUCCUUCGUCCAGGUUUUGUCCUACUGGGUUUUACUAGCAAGGUUUUUAACGAGGCAAUCCUAACAUACCAAGAGCAACUUAAAGAAUUAUAAGAAUAUUGUACUAUUUUUCCUUCGCUAGGUUUUUCCCAUAAUGUUUUUUACUAGCAAGGUUUUAAUGAGACAUAUUCUUUAAUGUGGUGGACAUCCAAGGGGGAGUAUUAUAACUGAAGUAAUAAAUGUCACCACAUUAAUUACAAUAAAUGUUAAUUAAGUAUUAUUUAUGAUUUCCAUUAAUAUUCAUUAAUGGAAACUAUUAAUGUUAUUUAUGAGUCUCAUUAAUGGAAACCAUUAAUGUUAUUUAUGAGUUCCAUUAAUAUUCAUUAAUGGGAAUAUUAAUGGAAGCCAUUUGGAAAGCCCAUAAAAAGGGCUUCCCAUCCUCUGUCAUAUGCAUCCAAAACAAGAAAGAAAUUUCUUACUUUCUCUCAUUCUCUCUAUAUUUCAUUCUCUCAACUUUCUCAAUUCUCUUUUGUGAUUUUUUUCCCUAUUAUAUAUUAUUAUCAAAGUAAUAUAUAAUUUAUUUCUACUAAUUUAUUUGCGUUACAUUUAUCCUUGUUUUACAACAAAAAAGUAUUUUUAAAUACGCCAUUUGACCCAAAAAAAAGAAAAGAAAAGAAUUUAAGAAAAUGCAAUAUGAUAUUAAAUCUGAAUUUAUAUAACAUUUUCUUUCAUAGUAUAUGCCACCUCAUUUUUCAAAAAAUUUCUUUCCAUCCCUUUAAUAAAUAAAUAAAUAAAAUAAAAUUUUCUUUAUUUUUUAUUUUAAUAAAUAAAUAAUUUUAUUUAAAAUUCAAUGGUGAUUUGAGGGGAGCAUAAAGAAAUUAACGUAAAUGUGAUACAAAUAUUUUAAUCUUUUUAUUUAUUUUUUCAUAUUAUAGUGCUUAUAACCAAAUUUUUAUUACAAGUAUGAAGGAUUCAAUAAAUAUUUAUAAAUUUCAAUCAAAUGGUAAUUUGCCUGAAAUUUCAUUUAUGCAUUAUUAAUAUCUCAUAUUAGUCAUUAAACAUCAUUUGUAAAAUAUUUAGAGAGUGUUUCUAUUUGAAGUGUUUUUAGUAAAAGUGCUUUUUUUGACAGUGUUUUUAAGAGAAUCAUCUAUCAAGAGCCCGUUUGGCAGUGAUUUUCAAAACUGUUUCUACCCUUAAAAACACUUUUCAGUGUUUUUGGGAUAAAAAUAAAGUGUUUAACAAAUUUUUAAAAACACUUUUGAAAAUCUGGGAAAACACUUAAAGUGAUUUUUAGAUAAUCACUUGACAAGUGUUUUUUAAAAAAAACACUUCAAAAAAUUUGAAAUAUUCCAAAAAUGCCCCCAAGUGAUUCCUGAUAUCUUCCUUCCUUUUCGCUCAUACCUCUCUCCUUCAUUCUCCUCCUCCAUCGCUCUCCAUCCGAGACUACACAGUAGGAAAGACACUCCACUUUUAUUCAACAUCGUUGAUCGGAUCGAAGGUAACCCUCUGUUCUUUUGUUGUUUUUCUUUUCUAUUUUUUUUUUAAUGUCUGAUUGUCUUGAAAUGUUAGUUAGGGUUUUAGGUUUUAGGAUUGUUUAGUUAAGAGAAAAAUAUGAGAAAAUGAAACUUGUAAAUCCUCAAAUGUUUUUAUAGGAAUUACUUCCAAGCCUUAACAAUUUUAGAUCUAUUUUUCAAUAGAGCAGUCGAGUCUCAUUUCCCAGUACUUCUCUCUCUAAAACUCUCAUUCUCUAUUUUGGUUCACAUAUGAAAUUGCUCUAUUUAGGGUUUUUGAGUUCACAUAGUCUCGACAAUUCAAAAAAGCAACAUUUCAGUUCCCUAAAAUUCAACUACAUUUGAACCUAAACACAUGCAAUCUUUUAGAAAUCAAUUGCAGAUCAACACAUAUCAUAAUUCUCAACUCGAUAUCAGAAAUUAAACAUAGCCAAUUCAAUUAAAAGGAAUAUAAAAACUAUUGAUUCAACUUAUAAAUAAAACAUCAAAUCAUAAAAUUUAAAACUGAAAGACUAACCAUGCAUUGCUGAACACUGAACUGGAAAUCCCAUAAAAUCUGAAUGUUGAUGUUAUUCGAAAUCUUGUUGUUGCCUGCAACCGCUGCAUUUCAGGUAUGAUUAAAAAAAAGGAAUAAAAGAUAGAAAUCAGGAUCUUAACUGACGAAAUGGAGAAACUUACCGGUGAAGAGAGAAUAUUGAAUGCCAAAAAUGAAAAGAAAGAAGAAGAGGGCAGCGUAGAUAAGAUGGAAAAUAGUGAAUCUCAUCUUGUUGGAAGAGAACCUACUUAGAGGAUGAAGAGGUCUCAUGAUUGAGAUUCGUAGACUGAUUUCAAAUCAAUUUUCGUGUAGAUCUCUGCUAUAGCUAAUAGGGGGACUAUGGAUUGUUUACAGUUCCUGCUUCUUGGAGUUGUACCUUCUAGGUUGAGAAUGCCUUCUAUGUGUUUUCAAUAAGUUAUAGAACCACUCCUUUUUCCCAGUUUGAUCUUAGGUUUUCUAUGUCAUAUUGGGUUGUCCAUCUUCUGAACAUGGGCUAAAACAUCAUCUUUGCAUUCUCAAUGAGCCAAAUUCUAGAGUCAUAAUUAAGCUGCUCAGUGACACCUGCAAGGGAGAAAUGAGCUGGUUUCAGGCAAGUCAUAGAACUCAUUGCGAAGAGGUGGAAUUGACUUCCUCCUAUAUGUGAAACAUUCCAACUAGUUUUCAGAUGGUCAAGACUUGAUUACAUUGCAAUACAUGUCUAAAUGUAGAGAGGCGGUUAGAGUAUGACUUGCAAUAGAAACAAAGAAAAUGUAGACCCAUUAAAUCAAUAUCCUGAUGCAAAGAAAAAAAAUUUAUGAGAGAAGCGGAACUAAAAAAUUUAGUUUCUACCAAAUUUAGGAUUUGUAGGCUUUGUAUGUAUCUUCAGUUUCUACCAAUGAGGAUUUCUUUUCAACCAAGAUUAUUGCACUUGAGGAUUUCUUUUUCUUAUUUGUUUAUUAUGCUUUACAGAAUUUGCCUAUAUGAUGUUCAAUACCGAGUUUACAUUUUAAAAUUUUAAUCAUACCAAGCAUUGUCUACACUAGAUAACCAUAUAUUCUUGAUGUUUUGUUCCUUAAUUCUUUUUUUAUUCUUCAUUUUAAUUGUGUGAUUCUUUGUUUGAAAAUUAUUAUUUCUCUAAAAUAUAUAUAUUUUUAAAUAGAGAAUGUCUAGCAACAUUGUUUAACCAUUACAACAACCAAGUGGUGGAGAAAGUAAAAAACAAAGCAAGGCUUAUUGGGAUGAUAUUACAAUGGAUGCUUUUAUCAAAGUUUGUGUGAUUGAGACCUUGAUUGGAAAUAGACCAAAUAAUCACUUUAACAAGUUGGGAUGGAAAAAUGUGAUAAAAGCCUUCAACAAUUUGUUUGGAAGAAACUAUCAAUAUAGGCAACUUAAGAAUAAAUGGAGUUCUCUUAAAAAGGAUUGGGAACUUUGGAAUACCUUGAUUGGGAAAGAGACUGGCCUUGGGUGGGAUCCUAUGAGACAAACCAUCAAUGCAAGCAAUGAAUGGUGGGAUAAGAAAUUGAAGGUAUGUUUUGUUUAUUCAUUAAAUUUAUUUGAUUAAUUUAUAUAUUGGUUAUGAAAUAUGAUAAAUUAAAUACUCUUGUAGGAGAAUCCUGAAGCAAUAAAGUUUAAAACAAAAGGCUUGAAAAAUGUUGAGUAAUUAGACAUACUUUUCAAAUAUAUUAUUGCUACUGGUGAAGGAGACUGGGCACUAUCACAAGGCUUUGUAGGACAAGAUGUUGAUGAUUCAUCUAAGGUGGGGGAACACGAAGAUAAUAUAAUAGAAGACCAAGAUGACUCUAGUUGCAAUCUGCCACUUAAUACUAUCUCCAAUAGUUUUGAAGCUACUACUCAACCUUCUAUGGCAAAAAAGAAUGAAGGAAGAAGAAAGAGGAAAAGAAAUGAAACCAAAUAUGAGCUUGUGGCUAUCCAGUUAGAGCGCAUUUGUAGUGCUGUGGAGAAUAGGUCUUCUAUCUCAUCUAAAGGAGAUAAACCAGGUUGUAGCAUUGCUGAAGUGAUGAAAAUCAUACGUGGGAUGCCUGAAGUGAAGAAUGACUUUGAGUUAUAUAUGAAAGCCACAAAUAUCAUGGUUGUCAAGGAAAAUAGAGAUAUGUUUGUUGCAUUAGAAGACCCAAUUGAUCAGAUUGCAUGGCUUAAACAUAAACAUGUUUGAGUGUUGGAGUUGUUUCUUGUUUUUAUAUGGAAACAUAUUUUUNNNNNNNNNNNNNNNNNNNNNNNNNNNNNNNNNNNNNNNNNNNNNNNNNNNNNNNNNNNNNNNNNNNNNNNNNNNNNNNNNNNNNNNNNNNNNNNNNNNNAAUUGAUCAGAUUGCAUGGCUUUAAACAUAAACAUGUUUGAGUGUUGGAGUUGUUUCUUGUUUUUAUAUGGAAACAUAUUUUUGUUACCUAAUAUUGUUUAGUUGUUAGGUUGAGGGGAGGAAAGAGAUGUUGGUUUGCUUUAUGUGUGAAUUGCAAAAGUCAUUAUGCCCUUAUUUGAUACUUUUUAUUAUUUCUUUCUCUAAAAAUUGUGACUAUUAGAUGAGCUUUGGUGGUAAACUUCUUAUAAAAUUUGGUAUUGUUUUUCAUUUUAUUAAUGUGUAGUUCCUCUGUUCUUUUUUUAUAUUUCAUCUUAGUCAUUUAACAUUUUUUUUUGGGUUUAUUUUUUCUAUAAGAUAUAUUUUUUUAAUAUAGAAUGUCUAGCAAUGGUAGGAAUUCUAAACUUCAAUUGUGUACUUUCUAAUUUUUAAAAAUAACUAUAGUAAUUGAAAAUAUACAUUAUUGUUGUUUAUUAACGUAUUUCUUUUUUUAUUUUUAUUUGUGUAGAUGUCUUCUAAUAACAAUGAUCAAAAUUUUGAUGAUGAAAGCGAUGAUGAACAUGAUUUUUAUCAAUUGGUGCUUGGGGGUUGUGUUGUAGCUGCAACACAUACUAGUUUCAAAGGAAAAAAAACCUUGUAGAACUUCUUCCCACACAAGAUACAAGUUUGUAAUGGAUGUCUUAAAUGGCUAUGAAAUUAGGUGUUUUGAGCAAUUUAGAAUGGAAAAACAUGUGUUUAUGAAUUUCUUAGAAACACUUACUAAAAGGUAUGGCCUAAAAGAAGGUUUUGAUAUGCCCUUAAUAGAGGUCUUAGCAAUGUUUCUCACUACAAUAGGUCAUAGACUAAGCAAUAGGAUGAUUCAAGAAAGAUUUCAACACUCUGGUGAAUCUGUAUCUAGAUGGUUUGAGAUUGUAUUAGAUGUUGUUUGUCUUAUGGCUAUAGAUAUUAUAAAACCAAGUGAUCCACAAUUUAAGGAUGUCCUUGAUAAAAUAAGAAAUGAUGAUCGGUAUUGGCCAUAUUUUCAGAAUUGUAUUGGGGUAAUUGAUGAAACUCAUAUACCUAUUGUGGUUUCCAGAGAUAGAAAAAUACCAUAUAUGGGUAGAAAAGGUAUGGCUACCCAAAAUGUUAUGGCGGUAUGUGAUUUCAAUAUGUGUUUCACAUUUGCAUGGGUCAGAUGGGAAGGCACUGCUCAUGAUGCACGGGUCUUUUUAGAGGCAUUAAGAAGGCCAAAAUUGGGUUUUCCUCAUCCACCUAGAGAUUUGUGAAUGAUAAUAUCAAACUUGUUUUUGUGAUCAAAUUUUUAUUAUCUAAUAUAUAUUUUUUGUUUUUGUUUUGUAGGUAAAUAUUAUUUGGUCGAUGUUGGUUAUCCUCAAAUGAGUGGAUAUUUAGGCCCUUAUAAAGGCGAGCAUUACCAUCUUCCAGAUUUUCGACGAAGUAGUUCACCUAAAGGUAAAAAGGAAAUAUUUAAUCAUAGGCAUUCAUUCUUGAGGUGCACAAUUGAGAGAACGUUUGCCGUUUUGAAGAAUAGAUGGAGAAUGCUACGAGAAAUGCACAAUUUUCCUCUUUAAAAACAAGUAAAGAUUGUUAUUACUUCAAUGGCUCUUCACAACUUCAUAAGGAUUAAUGCUAGAAUGGAUAUGGAAUUUAAACCUUAUGAUGAUGAUCAAGGGUUGCUUCCACUUAAUGAAGAAGAGAGUAGAGUGGAUUCACUUGUUGAGGAAGAUGGUUCACAUCAUACAAGAGAGAUGGAAGAACAUCGUGAUCGAAUUACAAAUCUUCUUAUAUCUCAUUAAUGUUUGAUUAUGACUCUAAUAUCCCUCCCCCCCUCUCCCCCCUUUUUUUUUGCUAUGAAAACAUUUGUUUUCUUAUUUGCUUUUAAUUAUAAUUUUUUUUUGAGAAAUUAAUAGAUAAUCAUAUAUUGUUUUAAUUUGAAAUUUAUCUUUUAUUCAAUCUUUUUUAUAUUGAUUUAGAUGUUUUUUGUAAAUAUUUUUAAAAAUUUUAGUAUAGUGAUAAAAAAUUAUUAAUUUUAAUUAGAAAAGUCUUUUUUUUUAUAGAAAUUAAUAGGUAAUCAUAUAUUGAUUUAGAUGUUUUUUGUAAAUAUUUUUUAAAAUUUUAUUAUAGUGAUAAAAAAAUUAUUAAUUUUAAACUAAUAUAUGAUAUUUAUUAUUUAUUAAUGCAAUUAUUUUUGUAAACAUUUUUCAAAAUUUUAUUUAAAUCAUAAAAAAAAUAUUUUUAGUUUUUUUAACAAUAAUAUAUAUAUAUAUAUAUAUAUAUAUAUAUAUAUAUAUAUAUAUAUAUAUAUAUAUUCUUUUAAGAUACAUGUUUAUAUAUUUUGUUGUAAUGAAAAGUUUUUUGUUUAUCAUACUAUUUUUUUUAAUUAAAAUUGUAUGUCAUUUUUGGUAAUUUAUUAAUAUUAAAAGUGUUUUUUUAUACUUAUACAACAUAUUAUCAAAAACACUAUUAAAAUCAUUUUUUUGAUUCUCAUAAAAGUAUUUUUCAUAGAAACACUACAGAAGAAAACACUUCAAAUAAAAACACUUCCACUAGAAUCACUGCCAAAUAGGCUCCAAGUGUUUCUUCAGAAAAGAUAACAAGUUAUUUUUCAUAUUUUUAAAAGUGCUUCUUAAAAUUUGUCAAAUACUUAAUUUUUUUUUUCAAAAACACUUUUUAGGCUAAAAACGUUUCUUAAAAUCACUCUAAAUGAAUUCAAAGAUUGUAUUUGAUAGUAUUUCCAUUUAAAGUGAUUUUUCAGAUUUUUAAAAAUGUUUUAUAAAUCUUACCAAACAUUUAAUUUUUUUUUAAAAAAAUACUUUUAAGCUAAAAACGAUUUCUAAAAUUGUUGUCAAAUGGAUUUUAAAAAUACAUUCGAUAGUAUUUUUACUAGAAAUGUUUGUAGUGAAAACAUUUUUAGAAAAAUCACCAAUCAAAUAUUUCUCAAAAAACAUUAUAAGUGAUUUUCUAGUAUCACAAGUAAUUCUUCAAAAUUUUAAAAGUAUUUCCUAAAUUUUGUUAGACAACCUUUUUUUUCUUUUUCAAAAACACUUUUUAAUUUAAAAAUGCUUCCUAAAGUUACUAUCAAGCAAACUCUAAUAAACAUAAACUACUUAUAGUUUGAAAAUAUUAUCUAAUUUUUUAAAAGCCAAGUUGAGGCGAAAAAAAAAUUAAUGCAAUUUAAUUAGAUAUAAUUUAUUUAAUUCCUAGAAAAUCAUAGAACUAGUAAAAUAGUACUCCGUUCUCGCUUGUUGGAGAGCUUUGUCAUCUUAAGAUGGGGUGGUGGUAAAAUGAUAACAAAAAUGAAAAUAAAAAUUUAAGAUAUAUUUCUUGAAAAUAAAAUUACAAACAUGCUUAUUUAUUUUUAAUGAUAACAAAAAUGAAAAUAAAAAUUUAAGAUGUAUCUAUUAAAAAUUAAAUUAUAAACAUGUUUAUUUUUAUUUAUUUUUUAAAUCAUUUGUAAUAUUUUUCAAAGAAAUAUGAUUUUGUAAAGAUAAUUUUAAGCAAAUAGUUCCUAAAAAAACCCUAAUAAACACUCUUUUAUGAAUGUGUUUGACAAUAUUUCUAUUUGAAAUAUUUUUAAUCUAAAUAUUUUUAAGAUAAUCACCAAUUAAAGGUUUUUCUAAAAAAACAUUAUAAAUUAUUUUUUAAUACCAUAAGUAGUUUUUCAGAUUUUUAGAAGCGUUUACUAAAUUUUGUUAAAUACUUAUACUUUAUUUAAUAAUUGUUUUUUAAAACAGUUUUGCAGAAUGGUUUUUAAUAACAAUUUUUAAAAAUUAUUGAAAUGUUUUAUAAAAUAAAAGUCUGUUUGGAAAAUUGAAAUGUUUUUAACUUAUUUUUAAUAUUUUUAAAUAUAUUUUAAAAAUAAUUUUAUAUCCCAUACUUUAUUUUUAAUAAUUCUACUUGCUUAAAACAAGUGAAAACAAUAAAAAGCAACUAAAAAAAUAUUCUCCGAAAGCAUGUUUUUUGUUCUUAAAAACAUAAAACAAAAAACAAUUUCUAGUUACCAAACAUGUUAUCUUAUUUUUUGUUCUAAAGAAUAAAAAACUGUUCUCAAAAAGAGUUACUAAACAUACCUUUAGGCCUUAUUUGAUAAUUGCUUUUGAAACUAAUUCUAAAAAAUAGUUUUUAAGAUUAAUUUUUGAAAACCGUUCUCCAAUAUUUUGUUGAAUAAAAAUAUGAUUAGGAACUAAAAUAUUUUUAAUCUGUUUUUAAUAUUUUUAAAAAUACUUUUUAUGUCUACAACUUUAUUUUAAUUAUUAUAUAUGUUUGUAUAAUUAUUUUUUUAAAACAACACUAAAAUAAUAGUGAAAACAACUAAAAGAUGUUCUCUAAAAAUAUUCUAUAUUUUAUUUUUGAGAAAAAAAACAAUUUUUGAUUGCCAAACGUAUUUUCCAGUUUUUUUCCUCUCUAAAAAACAGAAAACUGUUUUUGAAAACAGCUAUCAAACAUACCCUUAAUUUUUUUCAAAAAUACUUUUUAAGUCAUGAUUCCUAAAAUCAAUGUAUAACCUCUAGUUAAAAUUGCUUCUCAAAUAUGAAUUUGAUGACUGUACCGUCCAUGGUGAUCAGUUACCUUACAGCCCAGUCGACCAGGCUAAAUAAUCCAAAAAUAAUAAUAAUAAUAACUUCCAACUACAACUCAUGCCAAAGAAACUUCCUAAAUAUCAACACACAUUCACCACCCAGUCCUAAAUCCUAUAUGGAAUCAAACUGCAUACUGUUAUUUAGAGAUGAUAUUCUGAACCAAACAAACCCAGACAAGAAGCUCCAACCAUGGCUGCUCUGCAUUCAGAAUGGAACCUCCACCGGAGUUACCCCCAUUUUUUCAAGUGCAGAUUGGAACAUCAUACCCACCAUUCAAUCGGUACACCUUACUCUUUUAUAUGGUCUUUGUCUAUAUAUUUGUCUGGAGUGUGGCAUGUGGAUGGUCUAAAUUUGAUAAUCCUUAGCCAUGACCUUUAACAAAGCUACAAAUAUAAUGACCCUCACAGUGAAUCAUCAAAUGUGAAAUAUCAUAAUCAUCCUAUACAUAUAUAAUAUCCUCGUUGUGGCCUUCACGGGUCUAAAACAAACCCCCACACAUGCAAAAGAGGCCAAUUCAUCCACAAGUGGGAGUUUAUAUAUAACCCACUAUAAAUAUGCCCUCAAACAUGGCCUCAUGCAUCCUUAGGGCUUAGAGUCAUCUCCCAGCUUAGGACACUGCAUAAAAAUGAAGAUUUCUCAUUACUACUGCAUCACUAGUCUCCUGCUUCUGAUUCUCUUCUGCUUUUCAGAGGGCUGGCGCGCUGAUCCCACAUAUGGGUUCACUGUUGUGCCCUUGACAGAAUGGAAUUUUGAACUGCAAAAGCCAUAUGAUGUGCCGCUGGAGGAGCGCUACAGCUAUGAAAAUGGAGUAAGGAAGCUGUGGGUGUAUGCUGAUGAUAAGCCCCAUGACCCUAACAGUCUCACUCAGCCACGGACCGAAGUCCGCAUUCGGGUACUCUUCCUCUCUCUUCCUCUGCCUAUACACCAUGCUUAAACACAGUACUCUCAUUGUGAUCUUCUUGCAGGGACUUGACUACUCAUCUGGGGUUUGGCAGUUUGAAGGGUAUGGCUUUGUGCCAAAUGGAACCUCUGGUGUGACUGUCUCCCAGAUACAUGGUGCAGCUCAGGCCGCUACAACUUUGAUUCUGAGGAUCUACAAUGGUGAUAUGAGGUACUAUAGUGCUGAUCUGAUAGCCACUGGUAUGUAUGAUAGGUGGUUCAGGCUUAAUGUCAUCCACGACGUCGAUGGGGGGAAGGUGACAGUGUUCAUCGAUGGCGUUCAGAAAUUUCAAGUGAAGGAUAAAGGGCCAGGAGACUUGUAUUUCAAGUGUGGAGUUUAUGCUGCCCCGGGUAAUAUCAGCUACUGCAUGGAAUCAAGGUGGAGAGACAUCAAGAUUUACAAAAAGUAAUGGUGAAGGAUUGAGAUCUUUGUAGUCUGUAUUGAGAAAACUCUUGAUUAGCUAUUAUGCAGAUGGACUUUUUCUCUCAAAUGAUUUUGGGAAGGACUGAAUGAUCAAGCUUAGUAAGUCAUGGACUCAUUUUCCAAUCAUGAAUCCAAUUUGAGGUCAUUGAAUCAUUAAAAAAUUGGUCCAAAAUCAACACACCAGUUAGGUUCCAAGUAAUAAUAAAAAACUAAGAAACAUCCAAGGAGCAUAGUCCAAUCUAAGUCACAAAAUGUGUAUAAACUAUAUCCUGAUUUUGAUUUGGAAUCAAAUACGCCAUUGUUUCUACUUUAGAAUCGGUGAGCUGGGCCAACUGCUCGACUCUGAGAAGUUGACAAGGAAUAACUGCAACAAGUUUCAGCCAACAGUUGUGUGCAAUGAAUCUUAUGUUCCAAAAUUUCCAGGAUGCUGGAACAGAUGACUGAAACAUCAUCAUGGUUUCAGCCUAAGUGGGCUAUUCCCAGAAAAAGAGAAGCCACAUCUAGAAGGUUAAUGCUAUUAGUUUUUGAAUCAUUCUUCUUAUAAUGAGAAUGCUUUAAUGCCAAAGUUUUUGCAAUGAGAAGCAGUUUUUAGAACCCCACAGAACUUAAAAGAGAGGAAAGCAAAAGGGAUCCAAAACUGUUUUCAUAAAACAGUUUCUGAAAUGUUUCUGUCUUGUAUAACAACCAUGGUUAAAUUAGAUUGUCCAGCUGCAAUCUUGUGCAAGUCCUCUUCCAUGAAUGCGAAGGCGGGCUUGGACCUUCUGUCUUAGAGCCAUGGCUUGCAGAUUCAGCUUAUUAACAGUUGGAAAACAAGUAGACCAGGAUAAGACUAGCUGAGCUGCACUCUUAUAAUACAGCAAAAGAUUAUGUAUCCCUUUUAUGUUGCCUAGCAAAUUUUACCUCUGUUUAUGGUAUUUUUCUUUCUUUUCAAGUUCUCAACUAGAAUCAGUCCAUUAAAACCUAUCUUUUCAACUGUAUUUCAAUUUUCACCAGAUGGUGGAGAUUAUGGCCCUAGAGAUUCAUGUAUUGGCUGGCCCCCAAUUAGCUCCUCAACAAACUUGACUGCUUCUCCUUCAGGCUUUGCUAUUGUUUAAUGUGAGGAUCUGCAUCCUCCAUGAAAAAAACAAAACAAAACAAAGUAGUCUUCUUCAUAGACCCCCUCAAUGAAGUCAAUAAUUUAAUCAUGUAGUACCUAUAAUUUUGAGCAGUAGACUCUAUACUCCCAAUGCUUCCAAGACUACGACAAAAAUAAAAGUUUUAGUACUAAAAAAUUUCUUUCUUUAAGUGUUCUAAAGAAUAUUUGAUCACAAAAUUCAGAUGGAUACUCUCUCCAACUAUAAAUUGAAAUGUCAAUGGAGACUAGGAAAAUUAAUAAGAAAGUUGAUAGUGGGGGGCACUUUCAAGUGACCUUCAUGAAAGGAGAGGAAAUGUUAAACAUAAACAGCCUUGUGUAAUCUUUGGAGCUGAUUAUAAACUUCAAACAAGGCUCUCACAUAGGGAAUAGAUGAUUAAGAAGAUGGUCAAAUACUCAUCUACAUGGUUCUGCCUAUUUUACUCAUCUCUUCUUUGGAAAUUUCACAAGUACUGCCAUGUUGACUGAUGCUGACCUUUUUAACAUGAGCUAUCAGUUUUAAGAAACAUAUGCUGUAACACCCUUUAGACGAAGUAAACUAGAUCGAUUAGGUAUAACAAAGCUCCAAAUUACUAGGCAAAGAUAUGACUGCACCUGGGGACCUGUAUUUCAAAUGUGGGGUUUAUGCAGCACCAGCUAAUUCAAGCAACUACAUGGAAUCAAGAUGGAAGGGAUCAAGAUAUUCAAAAAAUCAAGUCGGGAAUUGCAGUAACUAUGGCUAGAGUCAUGUAAACUUUGUUAUGUUGUUAUCCUAUAGAACUAUAGAAGCUUGUAUACUCUCAUGUGAAAGAAAGCAGCAGUGUAGAACAUGUCAUUUCCAUCUUUAAAAUCAGAAAUCACAGACUUCAGGCUUGUACUAGAGAAAAGAUGACAAAUUAAACAAAACAUAACAAAACAACAUGGGUUGAUGCCUCAUGGUAAGUGGCAACCUCAGCCACUUACAUUCCAGUUUUCAGUCCAUUAACCAUAGAGCCUAAAGCUUGAACAACAGCAUAAGAAAUCCAAAAUUGGGCUCUCUAUCUUGAGCAGUAACAUUUUGCCCAUCUGGGUAUGCCAGCAAGAAGAAGAAAGUUCACAAAAACUACAGUUCUCUCUGGCAUCUUACAGUUCAUUUGGCUUUACAUCAGAAACUUCCUUGGUAGGCAAAUUGCAAAAGAAAUGCAUUCAAGCAACAGCAAAAUUGAAGGGAAGGGAAAUUUUUUUGAAGAAAUCUUAAUUUGUCGUUUGAUAGUGUUAUUGAAAUAGAAAGAAAAUAUGGUGGAAAUCCAAAGGGGUUUGUAGCAUUUGAAACUCUUUAUUCUAAUUUUUCAAAAAAAGAAUCAGUGUGGGAAAAGGAAGAAUAGGCAAGUACCAGUAGAAGCAAAACUACUACGUCAAUAGGAAUUCAAGCAAAUGAUGAUAACUGAUAUCAGCAACACAAAUUAAAUUGAGUAAACAAGCGCGAUCCAUUAAUUCCACAUCCUCAAUUAGGUACUCUAAUCAACAAGAAGGAAGACAAAAGAAACCUAAUCCUCUUCUUAUACAAGCUCAGAAAGGAAAUCUAUGGUAAUAUCUUGACUAUUAUUAUCAAUCACCUUGAACCGAUCUAGAAGGCCAUGAAUGAAAUGAAUGAAAUGCUGAAGUGAAUAUAUUUUUUCUCUCUUUGUUUUUUUUUUUUUUGCUAAAUGGCACAUUUGUACAGCAUUAUGAGGUAAGCGAGAAGCCUAGGAACCACAGGGAAGGCAACACCAUUUCUCAAUCAGAGAAAAGAACCACUGUAGAGGGUUGGGAUCUGUGUCUUCUGAUGAAGAUGCAGUAGGCAGUGGUAGAUGUGGAGGUAAAUGCCGAUGAAAUGCAUCAACUGCAGCUGCUACCCCAUCUUCAUUCUCUAUCAAUUUUGCUAAUUCCAUUGCUUGAGAUUUAACCUGGGAGAAUCAAAACAUGCCCCAUUGGUUUAUCAAUUCAGCAUAUGCAGGCUACCAUGUGACCUCUCCUUGCAUGAAAGUGGAAAACCAAGUGCCUGUUUGGAUAUACUUCCUGUUUUUCUGUUUUUAAAAUCAAAAUAUAGUAGCAACUUUUAUAUAAGACAUAAGAAUUCUUAAAAGCUUACAUUGAAAAAGUAAUGGUUUUAAAAAAUGUUUAAAAACAUUGAGGCAGAAAAAAAAUAAAAUUUAGACCUCAAAGUUGAAAGUUUUAGAAAGUGGUUUUUAAAAAUAAAAGGCAAAUUUAUUACUACAUUCCAAUUUUAAAAAUAAAAGAUGAGAAGUGUAUCCAAACGGACACUAAACAACUAUACUAAAAUGACGUACCAUUCAUGUGCUGAAACUUUGUGACAAACAUAACAAUUCAUUCUAACACAAUAUGCUCAAUUAAGAUGACCAAAACCCUUUUUCCGUUUUUUUUCCUUUUUCUUUGGUGAAUCCCCAGGAUUGUGCUUCAGGAAUAGAAUUCUCACUUUUUUGUAAAUGGUAAAUGUCAUGCAGUAUAAAAUUACUUGCAAGUCUUUAAAUGCUACUUUUAUGUCCCUCAAUCUACAUUGAUUUAAUAGCUAAAUAAACAUGGUUGUCUCAUGAGAAAAAUAAUUUAAACCAGUUUUGCAAGGAUUUUGUUUCUACAGAAGAGGGAAUUAGGCUGAAGACAGUACACAGUUGUAAGUUGUGAGAGCUUCCAAAGAUGACUUAAAUGAUGAAUUUAUAAAGACCUGAGAAAAUAGAAUUGCCUCAUAAUUCUAGAUGGUAGAAUUUCAUUGUUUUCACUACUUAUCUGUAGGUUAAUGCAUUGAUAUGGCUUUGUGGGACCCAUUAAAUAUGUGACAUUUUCAGAUGAUCUUUUCAUGAGCAAUGGAGGAUAUAAUCAUAAUUACCUCUGGCUGGAGCAUGAAUCGUAUGGCAUCAGUAAGGGUCUCAACACUGAGCUGCGAUAUAGGUAUAGGUGCAGGCCCAAGUCCUCUUUGAUGAAUUCUAUCACCCCAGAAGAACUGAUCUCCAAAGAACGGCACUAUGGUUGUUGGACACUGAAAUUCAAAAUUUGGACGUCAAAAAAGACCAAAAAGUGGAAUUAUAUGCAGAUUGCAUGGUGCUAUGAAUGCAUACAAUCAAAAUCACUUAACAGGGAUUUUUCCCAUCAUUAACAUAAAAAUCUUUCAAAACCUUAAAGGCAGAAGUAUCUCAAACAAAUUGAAAAUUUUAAAUGAAUGUCAUUCUCAUAAUCAAGAAUAUCAAAAUUUGCAACAUUCAAUGAGAGAAUAUUACCCCAGCCUUGAGUCCUGUAGCUGUGGUUCCAGCACCACCAUGAUGAACCUGCAUAUUUGUGGCAAUACAGCUUCCAGUUAAUGGUCUGCUUUACAGACAGCAAAUUUACCAUGUUCAGCAAAAGUGCAUACAAAGAAGUCAUGGUUCUUGUCCCUAGAUUUGGAUGGCAUGACCAUAUUUCUCUGAACAAUACCAACUAGCAAUCAUCUGUUUUUAAUUUAAUUUAAUUUAAUUUAAUUUAAUUAAUUAAUUUAUUUUUGGACAAGUAGAGCAGGCCAAAAAGUGGAACUACAUUAAGUAGAGCCUGUCAAAUUCUUAAUUGCUUUAUCAACUAGCAAUCAUCUGUUUUUAAUUUUAUUAUUUUAUUUUUAAUAUUAUUUUAUUUAUUUAUUUUUGGACAAGUAGAGCAGGCUGAAAAGUGGAACUACAUUAAGUAGAGGCUGUGAAAUUCUUAAUUUCUGUACAACUCACCAAGGCAAGAUAAAAUACAACUCACCACAGCAGAACACCGAGGAAACAGCCAAUCAUGGGGACAUUCCUCCAGAAGAAAAACAUAAUCAGGAACUUCCGGAACUGUAGAAUAGAGGCUGAAGUAAGUGAAUUACCUAUUAAAAGGAGAUACAAGUUUGGAAUUCAAAACAACACCAUCUGUAUUUGAUUUUUGAAUAACACAUCAGGUAUAAUUGACAAUGUUCUUAGGUUUUUUUUUGUUUUUUUUUAUUUUUUAUGUUGAACACUUCUAGAGGAUCUUCAGAAACCUCUAUAUGACAAAGAAAAACAAAUCUCAAUAAGAACCUAAGGUAUUAUGAAAAACAUGAUGUAGAUUUUUUAUGAUGAUGAACUGUUCAAAUAAAACAAAAGUUGAGGGAGAGAGAGAAGUGAGGUCCCAAAACAUAACGAAAAAACAAGAAAUUUCAUUAAAAACUCAAAACAUUAUGAAAGAAGAAUCUGUAUCCUUUUUAUUAUGAUCAACUGUUCAAAUAGAACAAAGAGUUGAGAGAGAGACAGAGAGAAAACAAAUGUGAACACUAGGUUUAGAGAGAUGUGAAAUGGAAUAAGGGUAAAAUCAGAAGUAUUUUGAAGUUUUUUUAGAAUUCUGAUACAUCCACUCCAUAGAGAAGAUGGCCUUUGAUAUAGUCAAACCCAAGUAUUUCCAAUUAUUACAAAAAGAUCUUCAGAUCAAAUAGAUGAAAAGAAUGAAUCAUUGUUUUUGGCUUUUUCUUCAAACUUCACAAUGAAUCAUUGUUUCAUCCCCUUUUCUUCAACAAGUCAAUCUUGUAUUCCAAUGUUCAGGAUCACUUCAGAAAGAAUCAACUAAAAUGAUUCUACGUAGAACUCAACCAAGUCCAAGUGGUUUUUGGCCACAAUUCAACACGGGGACAUCAGAAGAUGAAAAGAAUAUCUUUGUGAAACGUUUGAGAAUUAACCUAACAAACUCAAAUGCAAUCUAGUUAAAAGUCUCUUUCCUUAACAUUUGGUUUCUGAGUGAAACAGUUUGAACAACAAAAAUGAGCCCCUUAAAAAGUAACUUCCUUGAAUCAGGCAAAUAUCACUGAGGCUUCAUUUUGAGAAGUACCAAAUUGUGAAAAUGCAGUUACAUGCACAAUAAGAAUAUGAGCAAUAAAGCAGAAGCCUCUUGCAGUUAUUAUGUCUUGAUUCAAGCACAAUACAAGCUUUAUCAAUGUUUAACACAAAAACACCUAGAUUGAUAAGACACAGGAAAAACUGAAAAUUAUUCUUAUUAGUGGAGAGCAAAGCAGGCAACUGACCCUAAGUUGACAAAGGCAUAGAGUCCAUGAAGGAAUGCACAUCAAACCAGAAGCUAUUACCAAGCAAUAUGUAAUUUUGCCAAACACUCAGAAUUUAAGAUAUAAAGUGAGAAAAAGUGCAACAGCUUAGCACCAAUAAGAAGACACUCACGAAUUCCAAGGCCUCCCCAACCUCGGUCAAUUACUCCCCUCUGACCUGUAUCUUUCAAUGCCUUUAAUAUGAUAUCCGUAGUUUUCUUGGGAUCUUCAAGAGGCUUAACAAGAAACAAAGUAAUCUUUUCAAUUAUAAGCUUUUCAAAAAUAUCAGCAGAAACAGCAUGUUCUACAUGCCAGCAAAAUGAAUCAUGAAUAGAAUAGAAAGUUUAUAUAGAAUCCUUACACCUGUAGAGUAUAUGAAGACAAACAAUGAACUCCACCCAUCACAACAACAAAAUUUUAAAAUUUUGAAGGAAGAAAUUUGACUUAGUAGGUUCAAUAGUACAAGUUAGAAGAAGACUGUUUCUACCGACAUUAUGAUUGCCUAGACUGUCUGAUAGAGGAUUAAGUUAAUUAGUCAUCAAGAUUUUAACUAGGAUACCAUGGCGUGGUUCUGGUCAAUGAAACCCAAGCGAUACAAUGUUGUGGCCAAUAGAAAGACAAAUGAAAGAAAGAAAAAAAUGCUAUAACACAAUCUAGAGAAAAAAAAAUUUAGCAAUUUAAUUUACCUAAAAUAUAUAAGUUAACAGGUUUACUUGAUCAUCAUACCCAGGGUGAAAACCCUCUGUUGCAUAGGAACCAACAAGAAGCACAAAUCAUAAAUCCUUUUACCAAUAGUUUGAAGUAAGAUCACCAUACCAUGCUCCCAAAACCUAUAUAUAUAGGUUUGUCUCCUUUUUGGAUCCACUGAACAAACUCUUCUUGAGGUUGAUACCUGGACCCAAGGUUUAAGAAACAAUAGCCAACAACAUCAACUAAGGAGCCCCAAUCUGCAUUGAAGAAGUUUGGGAGGUAUAAGUGCAAAGUGCCCACAUGAAUAAAGCUGGAUAACGCUUCAAUUUGAUUAAAGUUAACACAGAACCAUGGCCUAGAAUUACUUUUAGGUGCCUCACCAUGUCGCAUUUUAAUUUGGUGAGGGAGAAGAGGAUUAGAAAAGCAGUAGUUAGUUACUGAACAAUCUCCCAGUUUAACUAAAAACAAAACAUCAGAUAAAAUACAAAAAGAAGUAUUGGCUACCUUCUAACAGAAAUAAUUGGCCCUUCAUUUUAGCAUUGGAAGCCCUAAAGUCAAAAAAUAUUGGCAAUACUUCCCCAAUAAUUUUUUAUAUUCUUGUUCUUAUUAACAAUCACCUAAGACGAGGUAAAGGGAACCCAAACAACAUGUAACAUAGGUGAUGUCAAAAAGAAGAAGAAUAACUACAUGACAUACAGCAGAUUGAAGGACAAAAAGGCUGUCCAGGCAUCAAUUUUUUUUGUACGGGCCAAAAAUAAAGUAUGAAAUCUAAGAGACCGUGUAGUUCAGUCAUUAUCAACAAAAGAAACAUAAAAUGGCUAAAUAUAAAUCUCAUAUUAUAGCAUGUUAGUUUGCACUUUGUAUAAACAAAGCCAUUUUCACCUUUUGGUUUUGACACAACAUGGGGACUCCACAUGUAGCCUGUUGGCAGAUGAGAUAUUGACCCAUGGUAAGUACUGAAGUAUGCAAUAGGAGGAAGCUUCAACUUCUUUUUCCUGAAGUCAUUAAUAUAUCCUCUUAUGCCCCACCAUAUCAGCAAAUCCACAACUAUAUAUGAAAGCUGGAUCCAGCAAACAGAAAAUAAGGAAGAGAUAUUUGUAAGCACAUCCAACAAGGGAAAAUGAAAGAAAAGAAAGAAAAGAAAGAAAGACACCAAAAAAAAAAAAAAAAAAAAAAAAAACAAAUGCAGAAGAAUCUGGCAGUAAAGAAAAUACCCAAUAACCAGCACUUCGAGGUACACGAGCCAAUGGAUGAGAAAAUUCAUAUGUUGGCCUGCCUAUUGAAAGCAGAUGUAAGAAGGCAUUGCCUCGUAUAAUGUUCUCCGCAAAAUAAAUAAAAUUUUAAAACAAUGCCUUUGUAGUACACAACUAAAAUUUAGCUCCAUUUGCAUUAUUGGCUAAUUCCCUAAGACCUUAGGCAUUAGGGCACAUGAUAGUCUAAUAAAAAAAAUGUCUCUUCAUAUAAACACUUCCUUUUUUUUUUUAAUGUUACUUUGAAAAUACGAACAGCAACUUAUCUUAACAGAAAGAUCCAGAUUAUUUGUGCACUCAUUUUUUUUUUUCUUUCCAAUGAAUGUUUAAAGAGCAUGCCUUUGGCACACAAGUGUAUUUGCUUGAUUGGCAUUAUUGGCUCAUUCCCUAAUACCUUAGGCUUUGGAUAAGCAAUAGUCUAAUAGAACAGACUUCACUUCAGUUAAACAAUUUGAUUCAUGUUGCUUUGAAAAUAUCAACAGCGAUGUAUUUUCAGAGAUAGAUACUUCCAGAUGAUGAGUUCACUUGUUUUAUCUUCUUUCCAGUGAGUCUCUGUUGAGUGUGGAUGAGAAGAUGAGAAGCAUGUCUUUCUCACUAAGAAUAAACAGACAGGGCCAAAACAUCCUACUGCUAAGAUAACAGACAUUAGGUAAAUGAGACAAUAUUCCAGCCUCUCAGCCCCAAGCCAUAUUGCAAACUAGUUGGUUUUGAGGUUGCAAUACCUGAAAACUACAUCUAUUUUAUAGGUUCUUGGCAGUGGUGGAGCCAGAAAGCUUGGUUGGGGGGGCAAAAUUGUUCACAAAUUUGAAAAAUAUGAUAUCCUUCUUAUCCUUUUAAGGAACUAAGUAGUUUAUGUAUUUAUAAAAGUAUACAAAAAUAUUACAUUAAAUCUGCAACUUUUCAAUAAUGUUGGCAAAAAAACAAAUAUUAAAAGAAUUAAAAAAUGAUUAGAAAUAUAAUUAGAAAAUUUUCAAUAUUUUUUCAUUAAAAAAUCCUUCAAAUUUUUUUUCAAUAAAUUUCAUAAUUUUUUUUAAUAAAAUUUGAGAUUUUUUUUUCUUGAAUAAGUAUAAAAUCAAUUGAAAGUGAUGAAAUCUUUUACUUAAAAAUUACCGAUUAUUUAGUAAGAUCCCUAACAUUCAAUAUCUUGAUAUUUAAACCUUUAAUAAAUUCAUAUAUCAACUUAAAUAAAGUAUAAAUAGUUACAAAGAAUUUGAUACUUAUCAUUGUGUACUGUUCAAAGUAUUUUAUUGGUUAUAUUAUCUUCAAUGGCUAAGACUAAAUAUUGAUCCAAUUAAUGUGAAUAAAUUUAAAAUUUUUAAAUGAUGGAAGAGAAUAUACCAUGAAAAAAAUUAUUUAAUAAAACAUAAGGUACAAAAUGAUAAAAAAACUUAAUUUUAUUCAAAAAAAAAUUAUAAGAUGGAAAAAAAAUUAAGAUAAUGUUAGCAUAUGAGAAAAUAAUGAUAAAGAUAGAACAAAAGGAAACGAUAAGUAGGGAUAUUAAAUAUAUUUUAUAAAAUAUUUUAUUUUUUAAAUUUUAUUUAACUUAAUAAAGUAAGGGUUAAUUUCACUCAUUUAGAUUAAAUAUACUAAGCUCAAUGAGAUCUAGAUUAAACACUUAGCCAUUAUUGACUUGAAAUUUUAUUAAAUAACUCCUUUAUUUUAAGGUGAAAGGAAAACAAAUGAAUAGGAUAAGGGAGGAUAUUUAAUGAAAUUUCAAACUAAUGGUGGCUAAAUAUAUUCAACACAAACCUCAAGGGAGAUGAGUGAAAUUAAGAGUGCGUUUGAUAGCGUUUUUACUUAAAGUGUUUUUAGUGGAAGUGUUUUCUUUGUAAGUGUUUUUAGGAGAAUCACCUAUCAAGUGUUUCUCCAAAAAACAUUGUAAGUGAUUACUCAAUACAAGAAGUGAUUUUUCAAAUUUUUAAAAGUGUUUCGUAAAUUUUGUCAAACACCUAAUUUUUUUUUUUCAAAAACAUUUUUUAGGCUAAAGGAACUUCUUAAAAUCACCAUCAAACAGACUCCAACUCUACAAAGUAAAUUUACUUUUUAGUUUUAUUUAAAAUUUAUAAUAUUAUUUUUAUUUAAACUUUUUGUGGUAUUUGAAAUGUAAUUAUUAUUUUAUAUUUUAAACAUUCAAAAUUAAAUUUAUAUUUAUAGGGUUCAUUUCUAUUUUUUUUUUAAAUCUCUAGUUAUAUAUAAGAUUUUUUUUUUUUUUUUUUGGAAUUUGAUGGGAUAAUACAUAAGAUUUUUUUCGUCCUUUUUUUUUGGGGCGGAUGCCCCAUCGGGCCUUUACUAGAUCCGCCUCUAGUCCUUGGCACAUAGACUGCACAUUUCUAAUAUUUAAACAAAAAAUAUAUGUGUUAGCCUAAUGAUAUCGAGGGCCUAAAUCAUAACAGCUUAAGCUUUUAGAAAAGUCAGUAACCUAACAAUAUGCAACAUAUGUUUCACAAGUGAAGGAGGCACCUAUCACAUAUUAAGCAUAAGGCAGUGCCAGAGUUGUUAACAUGGUUCUUAGUAGCAUAUUUCUGAAUGAGCGGUUCCACAUUCAAAUUAAGAUGCAAGGAAAGUCUAGUUGAAACUCACGUCCAAGGCAUUGUGAAGAAGAUAUGGAGGGGUAUACCAAGAGCUUCAGCAACAUGUGCAUGUCCUACAACUCAAAAAUAUUUUAGAAUUCCAACGUACAUAGUUCAGAAAAAGCAAUGACAAAAGAAAAUAUAAUUAUUUAUCGAAAGUAGAGGAUACAGAGUUAUAAACGCAUCCUUAAGAACUAUAAUGAAUUGAUAACCAAGCAUCAGUUCACAUAACAUUACAACUAAGUUUCUCCAUAAUAACAUGAACAAAAUGAAUUGUCAAAGAGAGUUACAAUAGGACAACAAAAGAUAGGAGACCUAUCCUGACAAGGCCAAUAAAAUUUUUUUAUGGUAGCCCAAUUGUCAACCUAAUGCAAUUUGUGUGAAAUCAAGGUUUGGUUAAUCUCAGUUUUGAUAAUAACAAAACAAGGUUUGGAAGUAAAAAUUAUAUUUCAAGUGUGAUUAGGCAAAAAAAUUUCCAAAGUGGCAAUCACAAAAACAAAAUCAAGCUAAGAGUAAUCAAUAAGAAGAAAAGAUCUCAAAGAGAAGUGUUUUUCAAGAUCUAAGCUUUAUAGGAUCUCUUUGUAAGGUUGUUGGUGUGCUAGGUCUUUCAUGCAUUACAUUAUUAAUUUACGCACCAAAAUCAUUCAAAAGUAAUUUUGUUUUAAAAUUGGACGAUUUCAUGUUUUCAACUAAAACCUUACGUUAAAUGUUUUCCAAACUUGUUUAAAAGGUUUUAAGUUGAAAAUGAUGAUUGUUGAGUCAAAAAUGGCUUAACCGGUUAAAUUGGAUGAGGAACCGGUCGACCUAUUUAACUCAACCGAUCGAAGGGUGCAAAAACCUUCUCUCUCUUCCAGAACGCUUAUUCAACAUGUCAAGGUUGAACCUCAACCAGUUGAGGUCCGGUCAAGGGGCAGUCAAGUUCCAACGGUCACCUGCCAAACAUUAAAUACUAACGGCUAGUCAACCGAUCGACCUUCAACUUGACCGGUCGAACCCCCAAUGGCUAGUUUGGUCAUUUUCCUCUAUAAAAAAAGCUUUAAUCUUCAUUGUUUCAAGAGCUUAACCUUUCUAAACUUUUCCCGAAUAUAUUUGAGUCUUGGGAAAGUGUUUUUGAGUGCACUAUUAUUCUAAAACUUGCAUAUCAUUAGUGCACCUUUCAAUAUUAGUUUUUCUUGUACAUUUGAGCCUAAAGUUUUGUACUAGGAUUUUGUGAUAAUAUUUCCUAUCUUCAUUUGUAAAUCUUUGAGAAGAAAAGUCUAAAUGUGUGAUAUCACUUAGGGAUUCUCAAGUGUGGGGUAUCACUUGAGGUGUUGUUCAAGAGUGGGGUAUCUCUUGAGGAUUGUAAAGGGUGCUUGGAGCCAAAAGUCCAAGAGGGUGAAUUGGAAUCAUAAUCCAAUUGUAUUGCUUGAAGGCUUGGUUUGGAAACCUUGAAAUAGUGGAACCUCAAGCUUAGGAUUGAAGCUAGAGGAGAGUGGACGUAGGCCAAAUUGUGUCGAACCACUAUAAAAAUUUUGUAUUUGCAUUCUCUCUUCCACACUUUUUUACUUAUCUUUAUAUUGUUUUAUUAUAUAUUUGCAUAUAAUUGUCUCUUGUAUUCAUAUAAUUUAAAUUUGCGAAAAGAGACCAUCACUCUAUUCACCCCCACACCUCCCUCUAGGGUGAUUACCUUAGGUUAGAUUAGCCUAAUUUUUCUAACAAUUUGGUAUUAGGGAAAUUGGGGACAAUGGCUAUGGGAAUAGAGCAGGAAAGAACACUUGAGUACCUAGUAGUGCAGAAAGAGUUUUACAGGUGUCCAGAAGAAUGGAUCAUAACAACACAAGCUAUAGACAACUAUAAAUAUUUAUUCUUCUAAUAUUAAUGAUGCAAUCAUGAUAUGGUUGAUUUCCAAUCCAAGAUGGACUUUAUGACUUAGCCUAACAAGGGUUGAAGUCCCUUUCAUGUGCUUUAAUUAUCUCCCUUACUUUUUUUUUCCUAGCGGCUUUAUAUUUUUACUAAGUAGGAAUAUCUCUGUCACACUUUACCAAAAAGUGACAUGCUUGCUUAAGGGUGAGUCUGCCUGGACACCUUAAUUAAGGAGAAUGAAGGCUAAGAUAUGAUUUCAUUAGGAUUUCCCUAAGCAGAUUGUAGGAUUGUCUUGUAGCCCUUUGUGCCACUGUUUUCAAAGAGAAAAAGAAGAACUUCUAAAGUUCUCAAGGUUAGGACAUUCAGCUCUGUUCUAAAGAAAAUUAUAAGCCUUUCAUUUUCUUCUUUCUUUAUCAGCAUUUAACCAUGACCUUGUGAUGUAUGGUAUAUACUGUGCUCAUGUACAUAAAUACAAUCAAUAGAAAAAUAAAAAACAGAAGGGCUAGAAGACGAAAAUAAAGGUAUAACUUCAAUGAACUCACCAUAAGCAGGAGGGUUUGCAAUAAUUGCCUGAGCUCUAAAAGGCACACCAGUUUCUAUAUCUGGUUCUAUGCAUGCUGGAAGAAGAGAUUCAAUAAUGGCCUUUAGCUGCUUUCUUUGUACAGAUAGUUCUCCUGGUCCAGCUGGAAUGAAACCUUUAUUUCUGGCCAUAUCUAAAAAUUAUAAAAACCCGUACUUACUAAUUGAAAAAAACAAAAAAAACAAAAACAAAAACAAAAACAAAGAGAAACCAAGCUGAUAAUAUCAACCAUAUUUCUGAAAUAGUUAAAACAGAGCUUGGGAAUUGAAGGCCUUUGUCUCAAGAGAUUGAAAUCUUGAUCUGUAUCUCACUUCUCACCAAAACAAAAUUUGUACAUUGUUUCUAGAGGUAACCUUAAUAGCAGGGCACCGAUUUGCAUAAAGCCCUAGUUAAAACAUUAAUUUGUCCAUUACAUAAAACUGUUAUGUCUUGCUUGGCAAUUGUUUUCAAGAACAAUAUUUUAUUCUCCAAAAUAAAAAAUAAAAAAUAAAAAAGAAAAACAGGAAAACAUGUUUAAUAAUCAGAAAACUGUUUUUCUUUUAUGUUCUUAAAAACAAAAAACAUGUUUGUUUUCAGAGAACAUUUUUUAAUUGUUUUCACUUGUUUCCUGAGGUAUUUUAAAAAAUAAUUGUAUAAAUAUGAAAAAUGAUUAAAAAUAAAGCCCCAUAUAUAAAAAUUAUUUUUAAAACAUAUUUCAAACCAUUAAAAAUAGGUUAAAAACAUUUCAAAUUUCUAAAUAACCUUUUUUUAUACAAAACAUUAGAGGACAACUUUAAAAAAGUAUUCUCAAAAAUUGUUUUUCAGAAUUGUUUUCAAAAACAGUUGCCAAACAGGCCCUUAUCGUUCCAUCUAAUAAAAAGAAAUCAUAUACAUGUAUUAAAUUGCAGUCUGCCAAGGGUCCGUAAAGGCCAUGGCAAAACAGGUAACAGAAAGGGAUAAUUGUGAAAAGGAGGGUCUAAUAUAAAGUGAUCUACUAAUAAAUCAUCAUGAUAAAGCAAAUCAAAUUUUGUUGGAAAAAAAUAUAAAAUUCCAAAACUAAGAGCCUCUUACAUCCUGCCAAAACCCGAGGAUCACCACCCAAAGGAUAGAAGUCCACACCAGCUGACUUUACAAAAGUACAGAAGUUACUAUGAGUUGCCAACCUAACAUAAUGACCAAAUUCCUGCAGGUACACACAGAAUCAGUUUCAACAAAGGAAAAAAGUGAAUAACAAGGUCUGCUCAUCCCAAAAACUAGAAACAUUGGGCUACACAAUAUUGAUGUAAGUAACUUAUUCUGUCCAGCACAAAAUAAUAGCACAGGUAGGUUACUGACGCUUAAGAUCAACAAGAUUGAUAUUUUGUAAACCACAGCCAACCUACCACUCCAUGAGCCCUAAAAUUCAUAAAAAGAUGAAAGAAGGUUUUGAUGCAUAAAGCAUUACUGGAAUCAAGCUAUAGGCUGCAAUCAUGCACAGCAAUGGAUAGACUCGUCUUGUCAUGCUCAUUAACCAUAUCCACACUACACCACAACUAUUUGAGGCUCUCCAAAAGAGGUGCAACUGGAUUACCCAUGCAAUAAGUAAAAUGCAAAAAAUUGAGUGAUUCAUCCCAUGGUGCUGCAUCUUUAGAAAAAGGAAGAAGUGAGAAGCUAAAAGAUAUCAAUACUUUGAAGGCUUCCAUGAAAAACCACAAAGAAGGGAUGCAAGAGGAAAGGCUUCAAAAACAUUCAACCCACUCUUCAUGAUUAAACAAGAAGCUCUUAGAUAUCAUUCUUGCAGCAUGAUCAUUCAAUCUGAAACCAGCAAUUGGUUUAGAUACCAUUUCAAAAAACUAAAAUUACUAUUUCUUCUUCCAUAGAGCUAUUUCCAAUACUUUAAUAGCUCUUUCAAAGAACCAGAAGUAUUAUUUCUUCCAUAUUGCUAAAACUCCAGUUUUUAGGCAUCAUAAGAUUGUGACAAUGUUUUCAAUAUGUGGGAUUCAAAGGUAGUUUCAGCAUUAGCAUAUUCCAACUCCCUUCAUCCAUUGUUCUUUUUAUCAGAUAAAGCAACAGAUCAAUAUUGUCCCAGUUGAACAACCAAUUUUCAUAAAAGUUUAAGCUUGUAUGAUUUAUGUUCAUAGAGUAUAUCAUGCUCUUUAACACCAUCCCACAUGUGAAGUCUCAUACCCACAUGUGGAGAGAGACAUAGGCUUGUAGGCAAAUAACCACAGUUAGCCUCUUUUGGGCCUACACAAUAAAUUAGGGAAAUGAAUAUGAGAUAAGCUUUGAAUACAUGACUUCCUGCCAAACGAGGCUUUGACAUCAUGUUGAACUAACAAUUUCCUAGAAUUUUGAACUUGUAAGGUUUGAGUUCACAAUGCAUAUCACGCUCUUUAACAAUCCCCUUACCUGGAUCAGUGCCAUGAUAGCUAAAGCUGUGCAAAUUGACAUCUAUGUUGCAUGGAUUUGGGCAGGGGUGUUGGUUGUAGGUGUAUGUUGUAGGAUACGGGAACUCAUCAGCAAAAUGAUCUUGAAUGGUACUUAGACAUGACAUGAUACAGGAAAAAAAAACAUAUCCUUAAUAAAUAAAUAAAAUUCUCUUUUAUUGCCUAUUUUUAAAAAAAAGAAAAAAAUCAUUAUAGAUUAACCUUGAAUCCAGAAUUGCCUUUCCUUUAUAACUUUAUUUGAAGCAAAAUAGGAGGUUUCCAACGAGAAUCCCACACCUACACCCUUGUCAUGUCAUGUCGACAUAGGUUAGUUGAAUGAAGUUGAAGGGUUUGGGUAUCAUAGAUUAACCUUGAAUCCAGAAUUGCCUUUCCUUCAUAACUUUAUUUGUAUCAGUGAUGAUAUUAAUGGCUUGCUCCCUUAGCACAAUUGUUGAAGGUGGAUGCUAUCAGGGGCCAGGUUCUAAGGUAGUCAAUGGUCUUUUGUUUCCUCCCAUAAAUCAUCAUAUUUUUCCAUAAUGUCCCAAAAUAGGGAAACACCACUCAUGAUGCACACAUUAGGCAAGAUUAGGAUUUGAUGUAGGUUCCUUAUAUUAAUUUAGGAGCUUUUAGGAUUAAAGCUUAAGAAUAUUAUAUUUCAAGGUUGUCAAUAUUGAGAUUUAUAUGGGAUCAAUAAAGAAUCUAUCAGAUUGCUUUUCUAUAUUCGAAACAGAAUUGUGAAAUAGUCGAUAUUUUUUUUUUUUUUUGAUAGGAAACGACAACGGGAUAUAUUGAUAAAAAGAAGUUACAACUAGAAGGAUGAGAAAUCCUCCCACCAAAGAAAAACAAGACUACAAGAUCAAAUAAAAGAAAUACAACUAGAGAAUAAGCAAACGGUCUAUUUACACACCGCUAACCAAUCAAGUUGUAACAUGUUAAGAGGAAUCCCUUUAAAAACCUUAGAACAAAAAGCCCAUAGAGAAGCCAAAAAACGAAUAGAAUCCCAAAGACACCCUGAAUUCCUUGCUUUAUCCUCAAAAAUCCUUGCAUUUCUUUCCCGCCACACCACCCACAUUAACGCGAUGCACGCGUCUUGCCAUAACACAACCCCUCUCUUAGAAGAACCGAAACCAUUAAAAUUAGUAAAGAACAUGUCAGAGAUGCUCCUUGGGGAAACCCAAUCCAUCUUUGCUAACUGAAAUAAUCUGUGCCACAACCCCUUGGUCAACGAGCAAUGGAGGAAAAGGUGAUCUACUGUUUCUCCAUGCUUCAUGCACAACUUACAUAUGUUGGGACUAAGUGCUUUGUGGGGUCUUCUCAAUUGUAGCAAGUCAUUAGUCGAUAUGAAAUACAUGUGAGCCAUAACUAGCUCAAAAGUGUCCACAUAUGAGGUUAUGCCUCAUUAAGGCCUUAUACUUUUGAGGCAAUGACUGGGACUCAGGCCUCAAGGCACUCGUUCAACCCAUAAUUCCAAAAAUUCCCCUCAAGAGAAAACUUUGUCUUUUAAAAACUGCUAGCCAACUUUACAAUGAAUAUUGAAGAUUAAACAAGGAUAGACAAUCCCACCCCAAAUUCAUGAAUAACAAUCACACACAAUAAUACACACACAUAUCACAAACUAAAUUUUGGGCAAGAUAUUUUAUAGUAAACUGACAAAGUUCUUUGUCAGCUUAUGAAGGAAAUUCCACAAACAUAUGGAAAAUAUGUUUCCUUUGGAAUCAGAAAACAAAUGAGAGAUCACUUGUUAUUCCAUCAGCAUAGUAACAAAUAAUAUUAAACCUAAGGUCUCAACACUAAACUUUUGGGUUUUGGGAGAAGCUGAUGUAUUGAACACACCUGAAGUCUCUUUGCCACUGCCAGAAAUGGUUGUACAUCUCCUCUUGUUCCAACCACAAGCAUCACAAUUUUCAACUUUGGAACUGAUUUAUUGAAUUCAAAAUAAGAUUCAUCAAUAUGAAUGGAUGAUAUCCCUUCAAUAGCACGGAGCUCUAACAACUCUGAAGCCACAGGUGCACUAUUAUCUAAAUCAACCUCCACCGUCCCAUCACUUUGGAUCUUCACUAGGUUUGCUAUUAAUUUUUGCUGAGAACAAGAACAUAUUGGUAUUAAUGGAUGCAAAGUAAUACAAGAAGGAUACAGACAUAUAGGGAAAAGAAAAAAGGAUAAGCAUUUCUCAUUAGUUUCUAAACAGAGAACCCAACAGAAAAGCAGGCUUCUCGAAUGGCAGCAGAAAUUAGUAAGUUCAUGACAAAGCAUACAAAACAUAUUGUAAUUUAACGUUAGAUCAAUAAUGGAGAAAACAUUAUUAUCUGGCAGCUUCAGGUGUGAGCUGUCAGAUUAUGAGGGGGGUGAUAUCAAUAAAUGUGCAUGGUGCCAUCACUCUUACUCAAGCACAAGAUGUAGACUAUGGUAUAGUAUAGAAUGAUACAAUUACACAUAUAUAGCCACCCCAGAUAUGCAUUUGUAAUAUAACACAUGUUCUGGUUGUGUACUUGACUAAUUGUAUAGUAACACCGAUAAAAAAUAUGGGGCAAGAUUUGCAAGAAUGAGUGUUGAAACUUGCAGUGUGUGAUUCUGAUAUUCACCUUUGCACGUUCUGACAGUCUAUCUAAUUUUAAGUCAUGCCGUGGACCCUCCUUCUUCUCAGUCAUAGAUCUAAAUAAUCCAAUCUCAUUGCCGUCAAUUAGCAAAUUUUUGUGUGUGCCAGCAGGAGCAGUGAUGCAAUGAUCCAAGCCUUCAAGAAAGAUGCCUUGAUGUCCGUUAACAUUUCAAUAAAAUUUAACAAAGGCAAAAUAAAAAAAAAAGGAACACAUUUCUAAACAAUAUAGCUAUAAAUUCAAGAUAACAUAACAAGAACCAAGUUUGACUCUACAGUUUGACUCCAUGAGUUCCACAAGAGGUGAGCACUAUAAUUCAUUACAUCUCAUUGUAAGACUAUAACUGGCAAGGAAGUAUUCUAAAUCUCAAUAUAUAAUAACUUUCAAAAUCAUUAUUUUUUUUUUAUUAGACUUUCAAAAUCAUUAUUGGAAAUUGUAAAGUAAUAAAAUAAACAGUAUGGUGCUAUAAAAAAGCUAUAAACGACUUUGUUAUGCAGUAAAUGCAUAUCAAAUCAAAUCAACAGAUGCAUAUGUGAUCAACAUAGCUCAACUCAAGAAGACCCCAUUACAUACUAAAAGGAGAUGCUGUGAACAUGUGCAUAGUCAAAGGUCUAACUAAAAUGGGAGACUUUAACCCAAUACUAAACAAAAAUAACAAAAAAAAAAAAACAACAAAACAAAAGCCCACAUACAAAACAAAACAAGCAAAUAAACAAACCUUAAUGGGACUUGUGGAUAAGGAGCUUGCUAGUGCUGCAUAAGAUUCUCAGUGAAGUUCAAAAGAGCCUUUUAACUUUAUCCUGGUUUCAAGGCCUACCAAGGACCUCACCCUACACGUUCAAGCUUAUUAAGGAUAUUCUAAAUGUAUCAGAAAGUGAUCUUAGUGAUCCACUUGUACAUAAAUUCCAUGAUAAGCAAUGAAAAAUAUUUUAUUGUAUUGAUGAUGAUAAAUCUCCAAGAUCCACUUAAGAAAUGAAUGAAAGGAAAUAAAGAAACCCUAAAUUACCCUAUUAAGGGUAUUUAGGUAAUUUUGCAUAUAAUUGGUUAAUAAUUGCUAUUUAAGUUGCAUUUAAAAUUUGGGGAUUUUUUUGCUACAUGAGUUAGGUUUACUUUUUCAUAGUUUUAUUCAAUUUUAGGGUUUUCUAAAGCCUAUAAAUUAGGAUGAAUGAUUAAUGAUGAAUAAUAUUAAGUUUUCUUACAUACCUUGCAAUUUCCAAUAGUCAGACUUUAUUGCCCUUCUUCUAGCUAAGACUCCUAAAAUGCCUUAUUAAAAAUCCAAGAAUACCUUAUCUUUUCUAUCUUUACUUCCCCCCAUUGUUAUAAUUUUAUUCUCUUUCUUCUCCUUAAACCCUAAAUGAUUAAAGUUCUAAGCCACUUAUUUGAUUGUAAACAAUCAUCUUAGGGUUGCCCUACAUCAAUUGUCUUACAUAUUGCUAGUCUCACAUUGCUAUGGACUAUUUAACGAGAAAGAAAUGCGAGGAUUUUUUAUAAUAGAUGGAGGUGUUUGGAGCCAAUUCAGGACUUGCUUUAUUUCUCAUCUUCUCUUUCUGAUUCAACUCAGAAAACCUUUGCAAGCACACCUUUGAGACUUACAUCAAUAGAAUGAAACCUAAUGUGCAAGUCCACAAGAUUGACUAGGGAGACAAUUUCUGUAAGGUCACUACCUUCUGUGGGUUUUAUCAGUUGAAUUUUGAUGGGUAUUUUGUUGGGUAACUCAAGACAUCUAAGGAUUGAAGGAUUGCAUAAAAAUCAUUUUUGGUACAGUGGAAAGAGCUCCCUCUAAACCUCUUGGAGAUGGUUUAGCCAUUGAGGCUGUAGUUUUAGCCCUGUUGAAGGUGUGGCCCAAGGCAAUGCUUUUGGCCUUUCCAAUCUUUUAGUACGGGAAUAUUCUGCUUGUCAUAUCAUGAGUAACAAAAAAAGAAAGGACUAUGGAGGCUUGAUGAGCAGCUUAACUAAAUUUUUUAUAUUGCUUCAAAGUUG